rnacentral:lncRNA from 1 species
CAAUUAACUAUAGCUCUAGAGUUUUUGCAGAUUUUCAAAUAAAACUCAGAGAUUCCUUGUAUGACUCUCUCUAGUGUCUCUUUUGUGGUAUUUCUUGAUCCUUACCAAGGCAGUAAUGGUGUAUGCCUUCUCUCAAAGUAUGUGGUAUUUUUGGUAUGAGGUAUAGUGACAUUGCCUUCUCUCUCACCCUACUCUAAUAAGGUUUUGAUAUCUGGAGCUCAUAGGUGGGAGACAGCUAAUACAUACUUACAAGACAUUUAUUGCAUAGUCAAACCAUUGAUCCAGAAGAACAAGUCAAUAAGUCAAACCAAGAUGUGCAUGUGUGGCGAAUGAAUGGUGAUAAUGGUGAAAAUAAUGGUGAAAGUCUAAUUCUACUUUUUGUCUUUUGAGGGGUCACAUACCUUCCUUGCACUUGAGGCUUUUGAGGGGAAUGAGAUGCUCUAUAUUUUAUUUUUCUUUUCUCUCAGGUGGGUAUUUCUUGUACCCCUAAUUCUAGUGUCGGACACUUGUCCAUUUUUACCUCCCUCUCACUUUUUCUCUCUUCUUUUUUUCGAGGUUUCGGACACUUGCCACUUUUUAUUUUCCUCGUAUUCACUUUUUUUUCAGAGCACUCACCCUCCUGGAAUAAUAUAGCAAGUGGUAGUAACCAAAAUAUCUCAAGCAUUUAUUUCACGGGGAAUAACAGGAAUAGGAUAAUGUUUUUGACUAUUCUCUCCUAGAUAGGAGUAGAAUAAUUUUGGGUGAAUCUGGAUAUGGAAAUGAGUGGAUGUAUGCGGAUGCGUACUUCCGGAGUAGAAGCAACAUGUAUGAGUGAACGUGCAAGUGAAUCUUGAUUUUAACCGCAUGACAAGCACCUAAGGGUCUACACAGCUUGACCACACUCAAUGCUCAUAAGCAGUAAAAAAGUAAAUGUAAGGUUCAUAGUCUAAUAAGCAUGUAUAUAUGGCUGUGGUAGGAUUUUAAACUCUCUUCAUACAGGAACUCAUCAUGCAACAUUUUAAAGAUUGUCAAAGAUAAAAUUCUCCAGAAUUCUAGCAUCUCUAGGAACAGAUAAACAGCAGCUCAACCUUCCCAUAUUGACAGGUUAACGAUAUGAAUCGAUACGAGGGUGGCCUGAUCUUCACGACGGUAGAUCAAAAGAACUAGUAUAACUUGCUGUGAACAGUGGGUAACUAGCUUUAUACCUGACAAAGGUUGGAUGUGACCAAGCGACGGGGAGAGAGGCACCGAAACCACGAAGACUUCGACUCGAUCUCCAAACGACCACAGAACCACAAUCUAGAACUAAUCCACACAAUACGGCGCAGCCGAACGGAAGCCGUAGAGCACGAAGUAAGGGAGCCCAGAGGAUUCACUUCACAAGUCCAAGAAGAACAAGAAAGAACAAAGGUUGAGUAAGGCACUCAGCAGCGCGGCUGCAAUAUCAUGUAGUUUAUCAAAUGAUCAAAGGUUGCUGAUAGCUUAGAGGUAGGCGAUAUUUAUACUAGAAACAACCCUCCUAGAUAGGUAUGAAAAUGAAAUAGAGUUUCUGAGGGAAGGCAAUGUGAAAGGACCCCUCGGAAUGGAUUCCCGAACUGGCUUCGCGUGACUGUUGGCCUCCAGAGCUGUUUCCAAUAAGCUGACCAUAACUUUUUAUUGGAAAGUGCAAAUGAUGAACCGUUUCUUGGUGUGAAACUAGACACGAAGAUCUUUCUGGCAAUGUAUGCUAUGCACCACAAAACAUUGUAGAUUGGUACAGUUUUGCACGGCAAGUUGUACCAAUAUUCUGUCACGGCAGACUGUUGACCUUCUGAGCAGUCUGUACUAAUUCUGGUCUGCAGGCAAUAUGGAGUAUCAAAACUGGUCGCCACUAGAUGCAUUGGAAAGUAGACUCGGCAAGCUUUCCAUCAAGUCCUCAUGGGCCUUCAUAGCUUUUGUGAUUAAAAAGUUAUGAAGAUUUCUUUGCACUAGUCCGUUUUUGACUUCCACUGGUCCGUUUUUGACGUGUCUUCUAGGACUUGCACUGGUUCGUUCUUCAGGGUCCGAUUCAUCCUUCUCUUCUUCUAUAUACCUGAGUACAAUCAAGGUAGAACACUUAGGUAGAAUAUAAUUGUCAUUAACAUUAAAAUGAAUCUCACAAAGUAGCGCGUUGACCUCUUGUUGUAGCUUCUUUGCACGACUACGUGUAACCGGUCCAUCGAUGACUUGGGCUGGUGUCGGUGUAGGUAAAACUUGAGUGGUUGUAGCUUGACUUGGAGCUUGUGACAUAUUGCUUGCUGUUAUGUUCAUAUCAUCCUGCCCUCUUGAAAAGGAGUCAUCCUCGACUCGUCCAAUCCAAUAAAAGGAGAUAAAUCGGCGACAUUGAAGCUUGUACUCACACCAUAUGUACUUGGGAGAUCAAUUUCAUAUGCAUUGUCAUUGAUCUUGCGAAGCACUUUGAAUGGACCAUCGGCUCGGGGUUGCAGCUUGCUCUUGCGUUGUUCAGGAAAGCGAUCCUUGCGCAGGUACACCCAAACUAAGUCUCCCAGUUCAAAUAACAUCUUCUUACGACCCUUGUUGGCGCGCUUCUCAUAUAACUUGGUCAUCUUAUUAAUGUUUGCUUUAGCUUGAUCAUGAAGCUUCUUGACAAAUUCUGCUCGCUUGCUUGCAUCAAAGUUCACACAUUCCUGCAUUGGCAAAGGCAAAAGAUCGAUGGGAGCAGUAGGUUUGAAUCCAUAGACAAUCUCAAAUGGACAAAAUUUUGUGGUCGAAUGUACUGCCCUGUUGUAUGCAAACUCCACAUGAGGCAAGCUUUCUUCCCACAAUUUCAGAUUCUUCUUUAGGACAGCUCGCAGCAAUGUUGAUAAUGUGCGGUUCACAACUUCAGUUUGUCCAUCUAUUUGAGGAUGACACGUUGUGGAGAACAGCAGCCUUGUCCCCAGUUUUCCCCACAAGGUUUUCCAAAAGUAGCUCAAAAACUUGGUGUCACGAUCAGACACGAUGGUACGUGGCACUCCAUGUAGAUGCACAAUUUCUCUGAAAAACAAUUCAGCAAUGUGUGAAGCAUCAUCGCUCUUAUGACAGGGAAUAAAGUGUGCCAUUUUGCUAAAUCUAUCAACCACAACAAAUAUGGAAUUCUUUCCCCUCUUGGUUCGUGGUAAACCAAGGACAAAGUCCAUAGAAAUGUCCUCCCAAGGGAUACUAGGGAUAGGUAGAGAAGUGUAUAAACCAUGAGGAUUCAAACGGGACAUAGCUUUGUGGCAGGUUUCACAGCAAAGAACAUGCCUCUCCACAUCUCUUCUCAUCUGAGGCCAAAAGAAAUGGUCAGUCAGCACUUGUUCUGUUUUCUUUGCACCAAAAUGGCCCAUAAGUCCUCCUGCAUGAGCUUCCUGCACUCGCAAAAUGCGAACAGAGAAAUCUGGAAUGCAAAGUUUAUUAGCUCGAAAUAAGAAACCCUCAUGCAAAUGGAAUUUUUCCCAUCCCUUGCUGCCACAACACUUGGAAUAUGGUUCAGCAAAAUAUGAAUCCUUAACAUAUAGUUCUUUUAUACUUUCUAAUCCAAGAAUUUUAGUAUCAAGUCGUGAAAGUAAAGUAUGACGUCGAGACAAAGCAUCAGCUACAAUGUUAUCUUUCCCUUUCUUGUACUUGACAACAUAAGGAAAGGACUCAAUGAACUCACUCCAUUUUGCAUGCCUUCGGUUCAGUUUUAGUUAGCCUUUAAGAUGUUUCAAAGAUUCAUGGUCUGAAUGUAUCACAAAUUCUUUAGGCAAAAGGUAGUGUUGCCAAGUUUCCAAGCUUCUAACAAGAGCAUAUAAUUAUUUAUCAUAAACUGAGUAAUUCAGAGUUGGACCACUUAACUUUUCACUGAAGUAUGCAAUCGGCCUCCUUUCUUGCAUGAGAACGCCGCCAAUUCCUAUACCACUUGCAUCACAUUCAAUUUCAAAUGUCUUACCGAAAUCUGGAAGUGCAAGAAGUGGGGCUGUUGUCAACUUCAUCUUCAGUUCUUCAAAUGCCUUCUCUUGUGCUUCUCCCCAAUUGAAAGGCACUUGUUUCUUUGUCAACUCAUUGAUUGGAGCAGCAAUGGUGCUGAAAUCUUUCACAAAUUGCCGAUAGAAACCAGCAAGUCCAAGGAAGCCACUCACUUGGCUUGCAUUCUGUGGAGGCAUCCACUCACGAACGGCUUUGAUCUUAUCCUCAUCCACCUCCACACCAUGUCCUAAAACAACAAAACCAAGAAAGACUACCUUGUCGGUGCACAAUGUGCACUUGUCAAGGUUAGCAUACAAUUUUUGCUCACGUAGGACAAUAAGCACACUUUGGAUAUGCUCAACAUGUUCAUCAAGAGACUUGCUGUAAAUUAAUAUAUCAUCAAAGUAAACCACAACAAACUUGCCAAUGAAAGAUCUAAGCACAUGAUUCAUCAAUCUCAUAAAGGUACUUGCUGCAUUAGUCAAUCCAAAGGGCAUUACCAACCAUUCAUACAACCCAAACUUGGUUUUAAAAGCUGUCUUCCACUCAUCUUCUUCUCUCAUUCUUAUUUGGUGAUUGCCACUUCUCAAGUCAAUUUUAGUGAAAAUUGUUGCACCACUAGGUUCAUCAAGCAUAUCAUCAAGUCUAGGAAUGGGAUGCCUAUAUCUUACUGUGAUGUUACUAAUAGCUCUAUAGUCAACACACAUUCUCCAUGAACCAUCUUUUUUUGGAACUAAAAGAACAGGGACUGCACAAGGUGAAAGACUUUCCUGCACAUACCCUUUUCUCAUCAAUUCUUCCACUUGUUGCUGAAUUUCUUUUGUUUCCUCCGGAUUGGUGCGGUAUGCAGCUCGGUUUGGAAGUGAAGCACCAGGAACAAGGUUGAUUUGAUGUUCAAUUCCUCUCUUGGGUGGCAGCCCUGGUGGUACCUCAUAUUCCUGUAACACAUUAAAAAUAACACUUGACAAAGUAGAGGAUAAGUCGUUAGGGGAAAGAAAAUUUUCCUUGUACAGGAGUACAAAGAAUGUGGCAUUGGGUUCACUCAAUUCUUUAAAAUCCCCUUUCCUAGCCAUCAUAACUAAUCCCUCUUUUCCCUUUGUCUUGGUCAUUUGUGGCUGUGGGGUUUUAAUUGGCUUUGGAAACACUCCCUCACUAUUUUUGUGGGUCACUCACAAGUGGUUCUCUCUCUCUCUCGCUGUUUUCUUUUUAGAUCAUCAUUCAAAAUCUCCUCCCGUGUCAAAGGGAGCAAAGAAAUUCGCUCUCCUAUGUACAUGAAAGCCAGCUUGUUGGUUCUUCCAAAGAUCUGAACAUCACGAUCAUAUAACCAUGGUCUUCCUAGCAGCAGUUGGCAUGCUUGCAUAGGCACCACAUCACACUCCACAUGAUCAUUAUACCUCCCAAUAGAGAAAGGAACUGUCACAACAUGGCUCACACGCAGCGCACCACAAUCAUUCAGCCACUACAUCUUGUAUGGAUUAGGAUGACGCCUUUGUUUUAGCUCCAUUCUAUCAACCAAUUCUAUCAACUAAUUCUACACAACUUCUCUUUGAUCAUGCCUCGAGUGUGGAAAAGAUUGUGUCGCUGCCCAUUCUCUUCCUUUGCAGCAGUAACACUAAGCACACGAAGAGAAAUAAAGCAGUUGUUAUCACCUUCAUUGGGUUGGAUCUCAUUAUCAUUGUUUUCAUGAUCCUCAUCAUAUCUUGGACCUUCUUCCUCAUGAUCACUUUCAGAUUCCCAUUCACCAUUCUCAUUCACAAUCAUGGUCCUCCUACUAGGACAUUGUGCAGCAAUAUGUCCACGACCAUGGCACUUGUGGCACACAAUUUCUCUACUACGUGCAGAGGAAGUAGUAGCUAAGGAAGCAACAGUUGGGGCUGCUACACUUGUAGCAGGUCGCUGCUGAUAUGCAGGGGAUGAUGUUGUAGAAACCACCAUCUUUGAAGGAGCAUUAGAUGAAGAGGGCCUAGCUGCAGCACCUUGGGACCGUCCCCCACCGAAAGAAGUGCUGGACUGCUGCUUGCGCCAUGGGGCUGCAAUAGAAUGACUUGCAUAAGAUUUUCCACGUGUCUCUUGCUGAAUUUUUCUUUCAGUACGCAUAGCUUGAUCAACAAGGUCUUGCAAAGUAUAAUAUAGGAACAUCUCAACAAAACCAGCAAUUUCCUCAUUGAGACCACCCAAAAAUCUUGCCAUUUUUUACUCUAGAUCCUCUCUAAUUCCAGUCCGCACUAACAGCAGCUCCAUCUCCUUAUAAUACUCAUCAACCGAUCUUUUUCCUUGCUUCAACAUUUGUAACCUAUUGCGAAGGUCACGCUGAUAGCUUGACGGUACAAAUCGCCUUCUCACCACUUGCUACAUCUCUUCCCAUGUGUUGAUAUGUUCACGGCCCAACACAAGUUGAUUCUCUUGUAUCUGAUUCCACCAAGUCAGAGCAUAACCAGAGAACUUCAUUGAAGCAAGAUUGACACACCUCUGAUCAGAGAUAUUAUGCACUCUGAAAAUUUGAUCACACUGCUCAGCCCACUCAAGAUAUGCAUCUGCAUCCUCUCUUCCAGUGAAUUUUGGGAUACUCAACUUGACACGAGCAAUGUUGUCCCGGUCUUCCCUAUUACGACGUCCAUGAUGAUGCUCUCUAUCUCCAUGAUCAGCAUGCCGCUGAUGAUCAUGGCGCCGCCUAUGCAGCCCAUCAUUUGCAAAGGGAUUCUCAUCAGAACCCUCUUCGUGACCAAAGUUAUCAAAUUCUUCAUCAUCAAAAUGAACUCAAUGGCCAUGACCACGUCCAUGAGCUCGUCCUCCAUCUUGGCCAUGUUGACCAGCCCGCCUACCACCACCACGACCAUCUCUGAAACGGUCAUGUCCUCCAUUAGAAUUUUCAGCACUAGAUUCAUCAGAUUGAUGCCGAGGAGCCCUCCGCCCAUCUGCAGAUAUGGGUGCAUCAAGCAUCCUCUCCAUGCCCUGCAAGAGUGAGUCUGCCAUUUGGCGCAACUCAGCCCGUGCAACAGGGGGUUCUUCUCCAUGACGAUUACCAUGAAUACUUGAGUUGGAUCUUGUCAUGUUAGCAAUAAAGCAAAUUAUAGUGGAAUGGGUAAAUUUGUGGAAUCACACAACCUCACCUCUUACUUACCAAUGCUCUUUCCUGUUCUUAAGGACAGUGAAUUGUGCUAGUGUAGCGGCUCAACAGAAGUGAUUCCGAGGUCGCAAGGAUUACGAGUCGAAAGUCCUGGUUUUCAGUUUUUGGUGGAGCUAUAGGUGGCUAAACAAGGGAGGCUACGGUACUCAAAAUCAAGUGGUUUUAUGUGCUCACAAGAUGUAUUGUUGCUGGUAUAUAAAUCACCAAGAAUCUGAAUAUGUAAACUGAAUUUUUCAGUGGGCAAACCGCAAUACAACCCCUUUUCCUCUUCUUCUAUUUUUUUUUGUUCUUUCUCUUUUCUCUUCUCAGAUUUUUUUCACUGACUUUUUUUAUCUCUUUUUUUUAUAUUAACAGGGGUGCGGAUAACAAAUGAAACACAACACAAUAUAUGUAAAGAGGGUGACUAGCAACUUGAUGAACACAAAACACAAGAUAACAGUACCGUCAAAGGGCUAUAGGAUUUUUUUUGUGGCUUUUUCAGUGGAUUAUAGGUGAUGAACAAAACAGUAACAAAUGAUAGAUAAACUAAAGGUAGACAUGUGGAUGAUUGUGAGAUCUACCGUGACAACGAAAGCUUUGAUACCAGUUGAUAGGUUACCGAUAUGAAUCGAUACAAGGGUGGCCCGAUCUUCACGACAGUAGAUCAAAAGAACAAGGAUAACUUGCUUCGAACAGCGGGAUUACCUGACAAAGGUUUGAUGCGACCAAGUGACGGGGAGAGAGGCAGCGAAACCACAAAGACUUUGACUCGAUCUCCGAACGACCGCAGAACCACAAUCCGGAACUAAUCCACACCAUACGGCGCAGCCGAACGGAAGCCAUAGAGCACGAAGUAGGGGAACCCAGAGAAUUCACUUCACAAGUCCAAGAAGAACAAGGAAGAACAAAGGUUGAGUGAAGCACUCAGCAACGCGGCUGCAAUAUCAUGUAGUUUAUCAAAUGAUCAAAGGUUGCUGAUAGCUUAGAGGUAGGGGAUAUUUAUACUAGGAACAACCCUCCUAGAUAGGUAUGAAAACGAAAUAGAGUUUCUCAGGGAAGACAAUGUGAAAGGACCCCUCGGAAUGGAUUCCCGAACUGGCUUCGCGUGACUGUUGGCCUCCAGAGCAGUUUCCAAUAAACUGACCAUAACUUUUUAUUGGGAAGUCCAAAUGACGAACCGUUUCUUCGAUGUGAAACUAGACUCGAAGAUCUUUCCAGCAAUGUAUGCCAUACACCAUGAAACGUUGUAGAUUGGUACAGUUUUGCACGGUAAGUUGUACCAACAUUCUGUCACGGCAGACUGUUGACCUUUUGAGCAGUCUGUACUAAUUCUGGUCUGCAGGCAAUAUGGAGUAUCAAAACUAGUCGCCACUAGAUUCAUUGGAAAGUAGACUCGGCAAGCUUUCCAACAAGUCCUCAUGGGCCUUUAUAGCUUUUGUGAUUAAAAAGUUAUGAAGAUUUCUUUGCACUGGUCCAUUUUUGACUUCCACUGGUCCGUUUUUGACUUCCACUGGUCCGUUUUUGACGUGUCUUCUAGGACUUGCACUGGUUCGUUCUUCAGGGUCCGAUUCGUCCUUCUCUUCUUCUAUAUACGUGAGUACAAUCAAGGUAGAACACUUAGGUAGAAUAUAAUUCUCAUUAACAUUAAAAUGAAUCUCACAAAGUAGCGCGUGGAUCUCUUGUUGUAGCUUCUUUGCACGACUACGUGUAACCGGUCCAUCGAUGACUUGGGCUGGUGUCGGUGUAGGUAAAACUUGAGUGGUUGUAGCUUGACUUGGAGCUUGUGACAUCUUGCUUGAUGUCAUGGUCAUAUCACAUAUCGUAUCCGUUAACGACUUAGACUUUAGAUCAAGUACUCUUUCGACAAGUUUAAGUUUAGAGCAAAUCUUAAUUAAUAACAGUCAUGCCUAAACUUGAGAGAGAUUUCAAUUUUGAGAACUAGUCAUGGCAGAGCAACUAUUCAUCAUUUCCAUGUGUGAGUUUAUCAUGAGGGUUCAUAGCAAACUUUAUUUAUUUAUUUAUUUAGCAAACUAAGCAAAGAUAUGUAUAAGCAUAAAAUUUUUAUUUGGGUUUUUAUGAUUAUGCAUCUUUUUAUUAUUUGAAUAAAGUAUAAACGUGAGUAGAACACUUAGCUGGAUAAAUGGGUGUGCUCUCCCCCAAGCUGGAUUUUGACAUAAUUUCGUCUGAUGUAGCUAGCAGGUGGCGGAGGUGUAUUUGAAUGUCGGUACCACCCUGACAGCGAUUAGGAUGUCCUCCGUCUGCUAGUCUUCUUUGAUCCUUGAAUUCUGUGGAGCUCAAAUAGACAACAAAGCUUUGUGGAACUGAUUAGGUGUUAGCAUAAAUAUCUACCCUUUAUCAUGUUGAGUCUCCUCAAUAAAUGCUACUGUAUUUGGUAGGAUCACAAUUUUAUUUUUAUAUUUUCAUUUUUUAUAGAGCAGAAGAAUAUUUUUAUUUUAUUAUUAUUAUUUUUUUAUGCCACCACAGUGAAUGUACUUAUGGGUUUUAUGCCACUUGUAUACUCGCGUGGGGCUUACUGGUUUUAACAUUUUUAUUUUUUUUUCUUUUCAAGAUGUUACGAACCUGAUUAACUAAGCAAACUAUUUUAAAUAAUUGAAAAGAAAAGGAUAACUACCAAGUUUACCUCUUGGCAAGACGUUCGGUGUUUUUAAGUCCUCCGAACGGGACUCUCCAUUUUCUCAGCCGUCCUGGGAUUCGCUGGAUGGCGUAAUCAGUGGUUCCAGUGGCGUCUCCUCUUCGUGUAUAACUAUCUUCUCUCUCCACACCUGACUCGGUGCUACGGUCUACUCAGGACAGUUUUGUUCAAGUCUUCAGACCUUACCACUUCUCAAAUAGACAACAAAACUUUGUGGAACUAGUUAAGUGUUAGCAUAAAUAUCUAGCCUUUAUCAUGUUGAGCCUCCUCAAUAAAUGUUACACUCUUUGGUAGGAUCAUAAAUUUAUUUUUAUAUUUUAAUUUUUAUAGCACAUAAAUAUAUUUAUUUUAUUUUUAUGCCACCACAGUGAAUGUACUUAUGGGUUUUAUGCCAUGAGCAUACUCACAUGGGGCUUACUAAUUUUAACAUUUUUAUUUUCUUUUUAAGAUGAUAUGAACCUGAUUAACUAAGAAAACUAUUUUAAAUAAUUAAAAGGAAAAAGAUAACUACCAUGUUUACCUCUUGGCAAGGCGUUCGGUGUUUUUAAGUCCUCUGAACGGACUCUCUGUUUUCUCAAUCGUCCUGAGAUUAGCUGGAUGGCGUAGUCGGUGGUUCCGGCGGCGCCUGCUCUUCUUGUAUAACUAUCUUCUCUCUCCACACCUGACUCGGUGCUACGGUCUCCUCAAGACAGUUCUGUUCAAGUUGUAUGUCUUGAGACCUUAUCACUUCUCCUUCGUAGUCUGCCCAUCCGUCCUUGAUGAUUUGCCUCCUCUGGUUGCGGUUGCGUCGUCUUCUUCUUGUCCUGACCUGCUUAGAGUCUUCAACUAUAUAGUUAGGUUCAGUAAAAUAGCGGCGUACCUUCUCAGAGGGAAAGUGCAUGUGGACUUCUCUGACUCCAAUAUAGAUGAUUGCUUUAACGGUGCUGAGGAACGGUCUCCCAAGGAUGAUGGGUGCAUCGUACUCGUCUUCUCCCAUGUCAAUAACCUUUCGGAAUGUCUGAUCUGCCAUCUAGAGCUGGGUCGUCCUUUUUGGUCAGGAACGGUGACUUAAGUCGACGAUCUUGACCUCCUUGAACUACAGUGACCAUCUUAGCUGACUCGGUCCACAUUUGCUUGUUCCUAUUCCUCCUAAUGGUCCUCUUCCUUGGUUCAUGUUGGGAUUGCUCUGAGAUUUGUGUAGUCUUGUUCUUGAAGGAAAACGUCUCCUUCCUCCCCUUGAUGUAGAAACUAAUCUUGGCAGCACUAGCGUAGAUAACAGCUCCCGAGGUGUUCAGGAAUGGCCUCCCUAGGAUGAUGGGUGCCCUCUCAUCAGUACCCGUCUCUAUCACAGCGAAAUCUGCUGGGGCGUACAAGGUACCAACUCGGACACAGAGGUUCUUCAAUAUUCCCUUUGGGAAACUUCAUUUUUGUUCCCUUAUUAUUUUGCAGCUUAUGUUUCCUUCAUCGGAGGAUUGAUAGCAUACGACUUUGCCCUAUACUGUUAUAAGUUGUAUUAGUAUAUGUUUACUCUACAUCUUAUAGUUUUUUGGCUAAGUUUCAAUCAGUUCACUUUGUUUUCGUAUAUGUGCUGUAUGAUGUUCCAGUCAACUUUUUUUUGAUCUUCAAUAUGUCUUGCGGGUCUUGCGGGUUUUACAUACAAAUUUGUUAUGUCCGCGGAACACUUGUCCGCAAAGAUUACAACUUUGUGGCCUGCUACAAGCCCGCUAAUAAAUUUUGUGGCAAGCAAUGCGGGUUAGCGGCCGGCUACGAACGAGCCCGCCUUGUUGGUGUCUUUGUAGUUCCUUCGUUUUCAAAGUGUCAGAAUUUGAGAGCAUUGCUUUAAGUAUUUGAGUGCUUUCUAACUUUGAAUAAUGAAGGGUUCAUCCUGUUUCUGACAAUAUCCAAACUGCAUUCUUUCCAUAACCGUGCUAGUGGUAAUGGGUUUGGUGCUCCUUUCUUUAUGGCUGCAGCUGAAGCAACAGAUGAAGCCGAGCUCUUCUCUUGUCCCAGCAUUGAAGAUGAAAAAGGUUUGGAGUCAAAGAUCAAAUGAAGAUAAGGUUUGUUCCUUUUUUUUCCAACUUAGCAUUUUGGCCAUUACCUCUAUCAGUAUGGUUGAAUAUGUGAAUUUGACACAUUUGUCUCUCAUUUCCUGGUUUAAAACUGCUUCGCUAGUAACUUUACAUACCUAAAGCAAUGAUCAUCAUAUCUGUUAUUAUAUAGCAUUAUUUUGUAAUGUUAUGAUGGAAGCAGUAGUUAGUUCUUGGUUUGUUCCCUUUUAGAUUUGUAGCGAGCGGCCCAUUCUGAGCGGCAGCGCAUCCUCCAGUGAGAAGAAAAUGGUUUGUUCCCUUUUUUCAACCUUACUGUUUUUUCUGCUAUGUUUUUUACUAUGUUUUAUCCCAGUGGACUGCCUCUAUAUUGACUAUGUUUUUGAUAUAUAAUAACAGGGAAACAAACAUCAUGUAUGGAACCAUGAGCAAGAAUGCUUUUUGAUUCGGGAAUCUGAGACAACUUUCAGCUAGACACUUUUCUACGAAAAAGCAGCUAAAUGUUGCGCUUUCGAGGGCGUUGAACUCUGGGUUUUUAAAUGUUCAAGUUCCGUUCACAAACGAAGUUGUUAAGUCCAAGAUUGCAAAACUUCAAUCAAAGUGGGUAUCAGGUUGUCUGGGUAUUGACUGCCUCCAAUGGUUGCCAACUUUUUGUUUGGUGCCACUCCUAGUGUUAGUGAACCCGCAACAGCUGAUUUGGAGAAUCUGAACAGCGAGGGGAAUAUGAACAAUGGGAGGAAUGCGAACAACAGGGGGAAUGUGGCUGUGGACAACGCGUCCAUCGUGGGUGUUCUUGAAUCUAUGCAGCUCCCAAGAAUACAGAUAGUAGAUGCAACAGAAAUGAUGACAAAUGCUCCUCUGUCUCAGAAAGAAACUUUCAUGGCCUUCACUGACAACAAACUUCGCAUCAUCUGGCUCAAGAGACGCAUGAAUAUACCUUUAAGUGCAGAUGAAGUUGCAGCUGCAGAUGAAGUUGCACAUGCUUAAAAGGUUAGUGCAAUAAGUAUACAGACUUCUUUAGAUGCUUUCUCUUCAUUUUGCUUGGGUCUUAGCUCUUCAUGUUGAUAGUUGUUGCGUUAUACAUCUUUAGGUUCUGCUGGGACUGAUGGGACUGCUAGGAGUCAUGGAGAUGGAGAUGCUACCUGCUGUUGAAAUCUGUGAUGCUGAAGGAAUCUGUGAUGUUGAACUCUUCUUUUUCAUCUUUUUAUUAAAGACUUGUAUUGCCCUUAUGUGAACUGUCAGUGAUCGUGUGCUAUGGUGCUACCAGCUGAACUUUUUUUUAAUCUUUUUAAAGACUUGAUGCUGAAGGAAUCUGUGAUGUUGAACUCUUGUUUUUUAUCUUUUUAUUAAAGACUUGUAUUGCCCUUAUGUGAACUGUCUGUGAUCGUGUGCUAUGGUGCUACCAGCUGAACUUUUUUUUAAUCUUUUUAAAGACUUGAAUUCUGCCUUUGUAUCUUUUUCAGCGAAGUUGUGAACUAUGUCGCUUUAGUACUUGGAUGUAUUGGUCUGAAUGCCUGAAUGUUGAAUUACCUAGUUGAUGUUUUAUUCCGUUAAGCAGAUGAUAACUUAUGCUUCCUACGUGUGCUGAUAAAACCAUGUUGAUAAAUAGAUGUGAAUGCCUCAACAAGAUUUGACAGAAGCAUUGUGGGGUGUUUAGUACGUAAGAUUCAAGAUCUCAUGCAAAUUGAGUUCUCGUCUUGUAAUGUUGUUAACUGCAAUAGACUUUGUAAUAAGGUUGCUGGUUGCUUAGCAACCUAUGGAGCAUGUUUGUUGGCCUUUGGCUCUGAUGUGUAUUGGUGCCAAACCCCGGAGUUUGUAACAGAACUCAUUAGUGGCGAUUUGCCUGGAUGUCAUGCCUAAUGCAGUUGUGUUUGAUACGUAGAUAAUAAAACCUGAAGUCAUCAUCUGCUCAACAGGAUCAUAAAACCAGUUUUAUCCUCUGCGUUUUAGCAUCUCGUGGCUAGAUAAUAAAUCCGAAGUCCUCAUCUGCUCCACGUGAUAAUAAAACUGGUUUUAGCGACUUAGUUUUAGCAUUUCACACUUGCAUAUAUAAAUUUGUGUUGGUUGGACGACGACGAUGAGUUCAUACCUUCAUAUGUCCAGCGGCUUUUUGGAAGUCGGAAUGGCGUCGGUCCGCGAAGAGUUGCCCGCUGGUCGAUCGGCAACACGCACUGACGCACCGGUUCCAUCGCAUAUAUCGGCAACACGAACUAACCGCGCACAGAGGUGGCCGCUCUUCAGUACACAUAUAUGGCCGAUCGCCGUGUCGUCGCCGCCAUCUUCUUGACGAUGCUGCCAGACGAAUUGCUCGCCGAGAUCUUCGUUGCCGUCGUCGUUGGGAGCGUCCUUCCGGCGCGUGAUUUCCUGAGGCUUCGUCGUGUCUGCUCCCACUUCCGGCGCAUCUGCAACGAGGCCCACGUGCUCCGGCGCCUGCCGCUCCGUAAGAUUCGUUACGGUCUCCGGCGCCGGUCAUAUGCGCAGGAGAUCAUGGAGCGGCGCUUCUUCGACGCCGGUCAUAAGGAGGCCUUAUACUACGAGGGGAUGGUGAGGUUGCUCAAGGAUCCGCGCCAUCCCGUGCCCGGGGUGGCGCUCGUCAAGCACGCCGCUGACCUUGGGAACUCCUGUGCGUGUUACUUCAUGGCGAUACUGCGGUACCAUUUCAACCCCGCCGACCACCAAUCCAACAAAUCUGCAUCAGCCCACCGCCGCCCCGGCUUGGAGGAAGGUGGGAGAACCGCGGCGUGUCUGCGGUGCGCCAGCUCGUCCAUGAUGACCUCUACGACAUUGCGCGCAAGAGCUACCUUCGCCAAUGUGACGACCCACCGGCCCUGCUCGUCGACGAUCCCCACAUUUGCAUAUGGGAGCAAUGCAGGCGCUGGGGUAACACGGGGCCGCCCAUCUGGUACUGCAGCGCAGAGUGCCGCAUCCGCCAUGAGUUCGACCUCUGGACGCGGCCUCUCAGGGACGACGUGAAGUACAGCAUCAGCCGCAUCAGAGCAUCGAUAAUAUUUUAAAUUUGUUGUUGCGAGACGCGCACGGUGGUGCUCGAUCGGCUCUGUGAAGGAUGAAACAAAGCAGAUUGAUCGCUGCUAAUUAAGUUAUUGCAAUAAAUAUAUUGUAAGAGAGGUCGACUUGUUAUCGUUGUUAUUAUGUGUAUAGGUUGACAAUAAUGUAUAUGUAUUAUUGUGUACUUAAAAUGAACAUGGUGCAAGACAAUUUAUAUUGUGUGAUCGAAAACUUGUAUUAUAGGACGCACGUAGAGCAGUGAGAGGGCAGCGGGCGCACGCACCUCGGAAGCUGGCCAAACGAAAGCGGAGGAGAGAGUUUCCGUCGUUGUACAUUCGUCCGCCCGUCUAGGCCUGCCCUUAUAACCACGAGGCACUCUGUCGUUUGACUUGAGCCAACCGGCGCCGGUGGGUUGCCGCGGCGUGCCUCCGCGCGGGCGCGCCGCUACACCUGGCCGCCACGCAGGGCCGCCCGAUAUACCUGGUUUUAUUAUCAUGGGCCCAUGUGCUAACAUCGGGUCAUAAAUCUGGUUUUAUUAGCCCUGUCAGCUGAUCAUGACUUCAUGUUUUAUUAUCCCACCAGAGGUGCUAAAAUCAACGAGAUAAAACAGGUUUUAGGCUGCAGAUCUUGACUCCAGGUUUUAUUAUCCAUGGUAACGUUGCUAAAACUACGUCGAUAAAAGAGGUUUUUUUAUCCCGAGGAAGAUCAUGAGGCCCAGUUUUAUUAUCGUGAGCCCGUGUGCUAAAACGGGGUCAUAAAUCGGGUUUUAUUAUCCAUGUCAGCUGAUCAUGACACGUGUGUUAUCAUCUCACCUGAGCUGGUAAAACCAUGAAGAUAAAACCGGUUUUAUGAUCACGAGGAAGAUCAUGAGUCUGUGUUAUAUUACCAGCGGACCCUGUGCUAAAAUUUCAACGAUAAAACAUGUUUUAUUAUCCCGAGGAAGAUCAUGAGGCCAGGUUUAUUAUCAUUGGCCCAUGUGCUAAAACCGGGUCAUAAAUCAGGUUUUAUUAGCCCUGUCAGCUGAUCAUGACUUCAUGUUUUAUGAUCCCACCUGAGCUGCUAAAAUCAACGUCCCUGCAGCAGGUGUCCAUCGCCUUAACUCGAUCCAUCCUCCAACAAGAACACGAGCAUUGCGGCAAGAAGCAUGGAGACAUGGCAGCAGGUCCAGAUCAGCUAACUGAUCGAAAAACCCUGUAGAUAAAACCUGUUUUAUUAUCCCGAGGUAGAUCAUGAGGCCGGGAUUUAUUAUUAUGAGCCCAUGCGCUAAAACCGGGUCAUAUAUCCAGUUUAUUAUCCCUGUCAGCUGAUCAUGACUACGAGUUUUAUUAUCUCCGCUGAACUGCUAAAACCAGGAAGAUAAAACAUGUUUUAUUAUCACGAGGAAGAUCAUGAGGCCGGGUUUUAUUAUCAAGAGCUCUUGUGCUAAAACCAGAUCAUAAAUCUAGUUUUAUGGUCCCUGUCAGCUGAUCAUGACUAACAGAAAACACAUCACUACGACUGUACAGAAAACGAAUCACCAAAUUUACAGAAACAUAUAUCAUCAUCACAAAUUAACAGAAAACACAUCACCAAAUUUACAGAAACAUACCAUCAGAUGCGGUGUUCAUCAACUAAAGAGUUUUUUGAAAGUAGAUAAACUACAACUUGUUCAUCAGAUGCAGUGUUCAUCCAUGCCUGACAAUUAACUACCAUAAAAACCAUUACAUGUCCAUUCUCUGACAAAACAAAUGAUCAGUUUUACUGGCAAAACACCAACAGUCACCGCCACGUCUCUCCUUUCCAGCAGGCUUCAUUCGAUGACCAACCCUGCCACCUUGUUUUUUGGGUGGGAGACAAUGUAGUCCAGCACUGAGAGAUGGUAUGUAUCCAAGCUAGGCUGCGAGCACUAAAAUGGGUCAUGGACAGAGUUUUCACAUUAUGAAAAAUGUAGGUGAGGGUCAAUACUUACAGUGAAUGGUAUGCCAUUAAAGCUCUCAAGAAAGCACAUGGACAGCAAGCCAACUUUAUAGGAACUACUGGAAGUACCAAUCCACUCAUUGAAGCUUGGUAUGUGUGUGUAAUUAACACAUACCGCUUCCCUGUGAGCAAAAGAUGGUUUCCUGUUCCACUUGCUCUCAGCGGCCUCUUGCAAUGCCUUGAAAACUUUUAUGCGCUGAUCUUUCCUUGUUUUUUCCCGGUGUUCUUUACACCUGAAGCUCACAAAAUAUUGAGACUUGGCCACAACGUAGAUAAUCCAUAGGUCACCAUGCAAGACAGGUAAAAGGAUCUGGAAAAAUAUAUAAUGAAUUCAAAUAUAUAGGGAAUUUCAAAACUUGGGUUUACUUAAGUUUAAAAUCAAGACUGGUUUUACCCUGUCAUAGUUGUUAUAUAGUUUGGGCAUGGUAUUGAUGAUGCUUUCCUUGAAUUUCUCAGGGUCUUCUUCCAUUAGUGCCUGGUGCAAAACAAACAGCAUGUUAUUUUGUAGUAGAGAUCACUAUAAAUUUAAUGAUGUUUAGGGUGCAAAACAAACAGAGUAAUCUUACAUAGUUCUGGGGCGGAAAAAAUAUCCUGAGUUUAUUCUUCUUGUCCUCAUCAAAUCUCAACCAUUCGAUGAAUACUUGUAGGAUAUUGAGGGUGAGCGCACCACCAGAAAUGAACUCAGCUACAUCAGCCCCUUUUAUAGAUAUCCCUUCUAUACGAAUGAACUCCUGUCUGUCAUUUACAAUACGAGUAUUAGAUGUUUGUAUUAGAAAUAGCACAAGACAAAUACGAGUAUUAGAAAUAGCACAAAACAAAUACGAGUAUUAGAAGCUAAUACUUACUGGUUGUAUGAGCUCUCUUCGGAAAUGAGACGAUGUAGCGUACUGCUUUUUUCUGUGGGCGGCUUUGUGUAUGGACUCAACUGUACUAAUGUCACAUGAAUAUUUUUCAUCCUUUUUCGUGCUGAUGGUUCAAAUGUACUUUCUUCAUCAGACCUUGGGCACUUCUCAAUUUUCCCUGCUUCCCCAGAGGGACCAUCAGAACCAUCAUCCGUGUUGGUUCUUGGCGUAUGUGGCGGCGUAUGUGGCACAUCAUCAGAACCACCAUCCGUAUUGGUUCUUGACGAAUCAACUGGCACUUCUUCUGAUUUCGUGUUGGUUCUUGACUUAUCAACUGGUUCUUUUGAUUUUGGCUGACCUGUUAGCGUACAGUCAUCACCAGAAUUGUUGGUGCCACCAUCAAGAUUCAACUGGAACCCUGCAGAAUUACAGGGCUUAUUUUCCGGGUGAUGUAGGAGGAACAUUGCAAGACAUCAUCGGUACCAGGACACCUUUUUCUGCAUCAAUCAUAAUCGAGAGCGUUCCAAGAAGAGAAAUAUAUGAGAAAGCUGUGAUUGUGAAAUGAAAAAAUCAUCGAGAAAAGACAAAUGACUAACUGCAUUAAUUCUCAUGAUAGCUGCUUCAUCCCCAAAGUUCAAAAUGAACUGCAGCAUGUAAAUACCACAGUCACAUGCAUUCCUUUGCUGCGGAACACGUAUUUCAUGUAUUUCAUGUCCAGACUCACCAUGUUCAGUCUCACCAAACUCAAUAUCUUGAGAAGCAAGAUAUUGUUUGAGUGACCUCACCUGCAAGAAUACAACUUUCAAUCAUGGCAGCUCAAGAUUUAAUUAAAAGAAACAGCUUCAUUGCUGAGAAAAUAAUCUAACCAAAGUUCUUACCAGGACAUUCCUUGCACAGCCCGUUCGUAAGGAAUCCAAUAUAGAUAUCUUCUUUUGCGGAAGCUCUAGCACAGCCAAAAACCAAUGGUGGCCAUCAAGGAUUGGAAAAAAACAAACCAGGUUCCUGUUGGUCCUUGGAAUUUCCCUUCUGAGAUAACCUGUUCUGUUAUUAUUUCCCAACAAUUCAUCUUAGACAAAAAAAAAUAUGGUGAAAAUGGAGCAUGAGAAAGCAUAGUGGUACGUAUUCCAGAUAUAGAAAUGUAUGACAAAGCAUAUGGAAUUUACAACAGCAAGCUGAGAAAGCAUGAUCUUGAGGGGUUCUACAUCAGCACCCUUUUUGUCAUUGCAGUCCUUGUUCCACUUGUCAUUCCAGUCCUUGUUCCACAAAUAUGCAAUGGCAUCUACAAUAAAAUUUGAUAGCUUGCCAGUUGGUUUGAGGGAAUGUACAAAUCUAAACUCAUCUAAUCGGAAUCCUGAUAUGUCCAUUACAAGAGUGUUCUUCAUGUUUUGAAUGAUCUCACUGCCAUUGUCUUCCACAGAAAUCGACGCUUUAGAUACGAUACGUUCAACAUAAAACAUAUUUGUCUCUCGAACUUUUUCCUCAAGAGACAUUGCUUGAUUCACUGCCGAUGACUGGUAGGCCGUGAUCUCAUCGAGCUUCUUCUUCGUAAAGGACUGACAAUCCUUCAUUAAAGCAUCUAUCUCAUCUUCGACUUCUGGCACCUUACCCCUAGAUGCCUGUAGCAAAUGGUCCACUGAUGGAAGUUCGCCCUUGUCCUGUUCCGGUAAUAAUGAAAAAUGAUUGGCAACAGGCAACAAUACUUUUUAAUGGAUUUAUAUUGAUUUAUAUUACACUAAUAUGAAGCAUGGGGAUUCGUACUUACCCAGUGUUUGGCACCAUCACGCUUCUUGCCCUUGUCCUCCUUCUUGCCCUUCUGAGUGUUCACAGCUUGCUUUGUUACAUUGUCCUUGGAAACCAGAAAAACCACCAACGUAAACAUAAUAAUUUACAUUAUUCUGAUUCCAGUACAAGCAAAUUGACUGGUUACUUACAUUUGGAGCCCAUAAGGACUUGUCUACCGACUUUGACCUACUCAGCAGAUCCAGAAGUUUAUCUUUGGUGUAGUGCUUGAUUCUUGGAGUCUCUUGUUGUUCUUGAGGCAGGAUUAAAGUAUCCAAGUAGCAUAUCUAAAGAGCACAGUAUGUUAAACAUAAUCCAGGUAGCAUAUCUAAAGAGCACAGUCUGUUAAACAUAAAAUUAAUUGUUCGUAGAAGAAAUUCUUUUAAAGAACUUACAGCUAAGACAUAUGUGUAGCCCCAAGCGAUACUAUCCGUCUUUACAUGUGGUUUUUUCUCUUUCCUCUCUCUCCUUUUGAUGAUACCUUGCUUCAGGGCUUUGCAAAUGACCUUGGACCAAUUGAUAGCGGAUAUCUUGUCAAGGGCACCAUAUAAAACAUUUUCUCCAGUAAGGUUAGAGUCAGAAGUUGGCAUCAACAACUUGUUGAACAAAAUGUACAAGAAAACUUCGGCUUCCUUCUCCCUGUUUUGGUUGUUAACCCUGAUCCACGUCAAGUAUUUCUAGAGUAGAUCAAUCUUGAUCUGUUUUUUGAUCUUAGGCUCAUACUCGUUGCGACUGUAAUCAUAUCUUCUGGUAUUAUAUUCCAAGUGGAAUCCAGCUGCUUUGACCUCAGUGAACAUGGCCUGGAGAGCAGCACUCUUGUUACCAGAAACUGAGUCAGCCAAGUCGGUAGCAAAAGAUGUACCAAGGACUUUGUGAACAGCCUCUGGGUUGACCAGUACAUACUUUUCAGGGCUAACCCUUAAGAAAAAUGAAUAUUCAUCAGUCAAGGAGUUCUCAUCAUCAGGCAAGCUCCCCUCAUCAUAUCUAUCUGUAAGUGCCUUCGCCCCCGGUGCGGGUUUUGAUAAUUAAUGACAAUCAAAUUAGGAACUAACAUGUCUAUCAAGUGUAAUCUACAGGUGUUAGUUCAUUGAUGGAAACAAACAAACACAAUUGGUGAAUCACAGCACCCCCAAUUUGUCACCUUUUAAGCGACGUUUCAACUCAAGAAGCUACCUAGUUUUAUUUCUUGUUUGAGUUAUAGGAAACGCCGCACUAUCAAGAGGGAUGCAAAUUAAGUUGGUAAGAUGAGGAUAAAGGUGCUCAGGUCAACUUAGCUUUUGUGCUUAAGAGACACACUUGCACGCACGAACACCUUCAAAGUUUCUUCUCUGCCAGGGUCAGCCGGUAGUACCGGCCCUCAGGGCCGGUGGUACCGGCAGUGCUAGUUCUUCUCCUGAGUUUUGCGAGAAAAUGAACUACCGGUAGUACCGGGCUUUGACCGGUGGUACCGGUGAAACGCCGGUAGUACCGGCAGGCCAAAUUCUCGCAGAAUUGCUGAAUGCGGGAAUUUGUACUGCCGGUGGUACCGGCCUUCCACCGGUGGUACCGGCUCAAGGCCGGUAGUACCGGUAGGCCUUUUUUCUCGCAUCUUCCACAGCCUUCUCACGUUUAGAUCUGAGGACAUCGGUGGUACCGGUGGUUGCACCAGUAGUACCAGCAGGUGUUCUGUACUCUAGUAUAAAUAGCUCUCCUCUUUUCUAACCGUUGGCUUGCUCAUUCUAGCUACUCCACAUCUGAGAAAAUAGUCUCCAAGCUUUGUCUCACCCACUCUCUCUCCCUCUUGCUCCUAGAUUUCAUUUCUUGAGAGAUUCGAGCUAGAGAAGUGAGAUUAGAGAGUUGGGAGCUUCGAUCUGUGACUUGAGCACUCCGUUCCUCGUCUUGCCGGUUUGGUUUGUAUUUGUUACUCUUGGGUUCUUGGAACCCUAGCCGGCUUGGCGUUCUUCGUGGUUGCCCGUGUUGUUUCACUUGUGAGGGCACCCCGAAGUGUUUGUAUUACCCCCUUAUUCUUAGUGGAAUCAUCAAGCCAACCUUUGUGGUUGCUUGAGGAGGAGACCUAAGUGGUCAGACCUUCAUGGUCACCUCAACAACAGGGACGUAGGAACUCCUCAGUGGAGAUUGCCGAACCUCGGGAAAAAUACCUUGUCUUACUGUGGAGGUAGCUUCGACUACCCUUGUUUGUGUUCUUUGUGUUCCUCUCUCUUCCACUCUUCAACAGGUAAACAAAGGUCGAUCUACGUUGUGGAGAAGGACUAAGCUAAGGAGACUCCAACAACAUCCUCUCCUACACUUAGGAAAGUGGGGUAAAACUCAGAUCUGAAAUCUAAACUCUUUACACUCUGAUUUCGUAGCUAUCUUAGGGAGUCAGUAGUACCAGCAGUUUGCGUCGGUAGUACUGGCUGUGUGACACCAGUAGUACCGGCCCAAACUGUCGGUGGUACCGAUAGGCAUUUGACUUCCGCAACUUGAGUUUUGAGUUUCAGGUUUUUAGAUACGCCUAUUCACCCCCCCUCUAGGCCAAUUAGAUCCUUUCAAUUAGUAUCAAAGCAAGGUUCCUCGUUCAAACGCUUCACCACGUGAGGAGCAACAUUGGCCAAGAUGCAUCCAACAACUCAACAACAAAUCGUUGAGCAAAUCACAGCACAGAUCACAGCAUCCUUGCAGCUACAGCAGAAAGAGCAAAUGAAGAAGAUGCAAGAAGAGCUAGACAAAAUGAAAGAACUCCUAGGUAAAAGGAAUCAUGAGUCGGAUAGCGAAGGUGGAAAUGAUGAUGCUAGCAAGGUGUCAAAGACCUACAACAAAACUGGGUUUGAUUAUAGCAGUUCAAGCAAGAAUCCAACAUUGCCGAUGAUCAAUCCGGGAAAGCCACCUCCAUUUGUUGGUAUAAGGUACACCGAUUGGGGUCAUUGAAAGACUUUCACCUUAAUGCAACAGCUGCUACCUUGAUCCUGCAAUGUCUUACUCCGGAGGACAACAACAAAGUAAAUGGUAUGGUAAAUGCUAAGCAGAUUUGGGACACUUUGAAAGUGUCAUUUGAGGGAGACAAAAGUGUAAGAGUAGGAAACAUUGAGCUCUUACAAAGCAAGAUUGAGAACUUUUGCAUACUUGAGGGAGAAACAACAAAAGCCAUGUUUGAUAGAUUUAUGUCAUUGAUCAAUCAAAAUAGAGCACUUAGAGCAAAAACAUGGGAUGAUAACUCUGCAGCAAGAAAUAUUUGUAGAAUGUAUAGGCAAAGGAACAACAUGCUUGCAUCCGUCAUCAUGGAGAAAGACAACUAUCAUACUAUGACUCCUCAAGAAAUGCUAGCAAAGUUGAUGCACCAUGAAGUCUUGGAUGAUGAAGCCAAGGAAUCCCUAAAUCAAAGAAAGAACAUAGCACUCACAGCUUCACAUGGAAGUGAGUCAAGUCAUUGCAACAAAGGAUGUUGUGAGCAUAAGCACAAAGAUGAUGAUGAUCUUGAUGAAGAACAAGCUAUGCUAGUGGGAAACUACAAGAACUAUCUAAGAAUGAAGAAAGAUAAGAUGAGGAGAUAUGGAGGAAACAAGCCAUAUAGAAAGAGGUUUUGCUAUGAGUGUGGUGACACCGGCCAUCUUGCAGCUGAUUGUCCCAACAAAGGAAAGAAGUCAAGGUACAACAAGCAAAGUGUUGAUGCAAAACUUGAUCUGCAAACACAAAGGGCUAAUACCCGAUUCAAACGUUAAGGCGUGCCAGCCGAUUUGACCUUACUAUCGGCAAAGGUGAUAACUCGAAUACUUUGGUCCCAACAACAGCGAUGCGCCCGGAUGUCACGACCAAGAGGUAUUCACGCGGAACUCGAGAAUACGCCGAGCUUAAGUCGACGAAUUCCAAAGAACUCAUAAUAAAAAAGGAAAAGUAUGACGAAGUCGUCGAAAAAGUAGAUGCUGGAAUAUGAGUAAAAAUUUGUGUUUGAUUGAUUGAUAGAUUCCUCAUUACAAGGCCCUAGGGUCUACAUUUAUACCCUGCUCAAAGAGCUACAAUGAGACACGACUAGGACUCAAAUUCCAAUUCAAAACGAGUCCGUAUACAAAACGUCUUUAAAUAACUAAGGAAAACAUAAAACUAUCCUUUUGCAACCGACCAGGACACCACCAUGGAUCAAUCGGCAACUCCCGCGCUCCCCUCCAUAGUCAUCGGCAGAUUUCCUAUUAUGACCAUCGACAAACACCAAUACGGAUCAACGGUCUAAACAUGUCACCACCCUCUGGACUUAGUCACAUUCAAUUGCCUCUCUCAUCGGCAACCAUCUCCAUCAGCAAUCAUUCAUGUAGAUUAGUUACCGUUGCUCUGCCUGCCGAUCCGUACUUUGCUGACCCCCAGGUACGUGUCUAAAAACAGUGUCAACACAUGCCCCCCAGUUUCGGAGUAUAAAAUUAUUAAUGCUCCAAAAUUCUCUGCAGUAAUGACGCCUUUCCGCAAUUAACUCUCCCAAUUUGGCAACCGAUCGUUAAAGCCGAACAACCUUAGCCCGAUUUUCCUGCAGAUUCCUCGAAUUCCUCAACCUUCCAACCUGGACAUCCCCACUUUAUUCGCCCAUCGGCAAUAUUACCGUUAGCAAGAGCUGCCGAUGGACCGACCAGGAGAUCUUGCACAGUGAAAUAUCUCCAAAAUUACGACUGCUUGCUAUCAAAUCACCUGUGCAAUCCCUUGAUUAUCGUGCAAACAAUUACCAUAUCCACCUGAACACCCUUGGAUUUCACAGAUGUGGCAAAGAGAUAAGUUAGAUUUGCCCCUACCCGUUUCGUCCUAUAAAUACUUCCUUCUCGGAUACUCCUUCUCCAUCUUGUCAUUCUUUAGCCCAAAAUCUACUUUCUUGGCGGCGGCACCAUCCGAGAACUCCAAGAACUUCAUCGAAGGUUUUCUUCAUCAUUCCCCAAGUCUUCAACCUUCAUUCCUGCAAGGAGAUGGCCAUCAACUUCGUCGUUCCUGAGGUCAGCUUACUACUCUUUCUUCUGCACUUCUACUGUACUCCUGUUCAUCCGCAAUCUGUCUUACCGAAUCCUUUUUUCUUUUUGUUCUUCUUUUUACCCCCAAAAAUCUCUAGGAUUUUGCCGAUAAGAUCGUUAUUCCUACCGAUCAACCCCAUCUCCAAUGCCUUGGUCCACUAGGAAACUUAGAUCCCACCGAUCUUAUAAACGCAGAGGCAAACAGGAUCCCCUUUAGGGCCGAGAAUUUUUCUCUAGAUCAGUGGAAGGAUGCCUUCCGUUCCUGGCCCAAUCCUACCAAGGGAUGGAAGGACUGGUUCCUGAGAGUCAGUAACUCAAAUGAAGUCCAAUGGGGCAAACGAAAAUUAGAUCAAUGCAUUAGAUUGUCUCUUGCCUAUAUGGAGAGAAAUAAGUCACUACUGAUAGCUGCCUCAUACUUUUGGUCAGACACACUCAAUGUUUUUAUGUUUGGCCAUGGUCCUGCUUCCCCCACACUCACCGAUGUACUUAUGCUCACCGGCUUAGAUGUAUCUACUGCCGAUAGCACCCACCUAUUUGACACCAAACCCAGUGCUAAGGUAGAAACUCGUUCCAUCGGCGGUUGGUUAGGGUUCAUCCGGAAAUACCGAAGAACAGGCCCUGUCAACAUAAAGGAACAGACCACCUUUGUGAACAUGUGGCUGGAUAAAUUUGUAUUCUGUGGCCGAUCGGCAGGACCAACUUCUGUUUACUUGUCGGUAGCAGAAAGAUUAGCCAAUGGUGGCCGAUUUCCUCUCGGCCGAUACCUACUCGGCUCCGCUUAUCACCUCCUCCACCAGGUAGCCCAGAAACUGCUGCUUGGUCAACCUAUCAGCAACUUAGGGGGUCUCUCGUGGUUCAUCAAUAUGUGGCUUAGUCUCCACAUGCACAAGCGCCUUGAGUUCGACCUCUUUGCACAGCGCUUUCCCAGGGAUAUAGCCAAGGAUUAUGAACUGGAUGAAGAAGAAUCGGCAACUCGUUCCUCUCUAAACUUUGGCGAAGCCGCCAUAGUUCUGCCUGGCACAGGUGGUAAUGCAGACUAGGUUAGCCGAUUCUUUCAAACUUUGUAUGAAGGUCUGACCAGAGAACAGCGGGCAUGGAUGCCUUAUGAAGAUCCAGACACCAGAUUCCCCCUGACUUUCCACCCCUUCAACGAUGCUCUCAACAAGGAUCGUGAGGUGAUGAUGGCAAUUAUCACUCCAAGAGCUAUACCAGUGAACUUCUUUGGCAGUGGGAAAGCCUCCAAUCUGACUUAUGAGUUUUACAACCCAUCGGCACUAGCUCGCCAAAUGGCUUUCGGCCAACUGCCGAUUGCACUCUGUUACGCCGAUGUGAUAAAGCCGAGGGAGAUCAUCACCAACCAUAUGGAAUGGAUCAGGGUGGCCCAACUUCUACCAAAUGCUGAUACAGAUGUUGAUCUAUCGGCUUGGAUCCCAGCCCUCUUCAUUACUCAGUCAUACAAACAGUGGUGGGAAGAAUGGAAGGAGCACCUAUUCUGCAGAUCGGCUCUAUCGUGGCAUGAUCGACUCCCAAUACAAAGUCCCCGAUAAUGCUGUAAGUACUUUUAAACUUAAUGCUUCAAUCCUUUCACUCUCAUUCCCAUCGGUAACUCACUUUUUGUGUUGUAUACAGGUUGAUGAUACGCCACCACUAGUCAGCAGGAGCGGCAGGCCGAUUAAACUCCUUCCAUCGGGCCCAACUUCUUUGAUCGGCAACAACGCUCCAACCCUGGCUGCUAUAAUGCAUCGGGGUGUUCGUCUCAAGAAAGUCACCACCAAGCGGAUGAGAACAUCCCCAUCGGUAGCUGCCACUGCCCUGGCACAAGCCUUCAAGGUAAAUCCUCGAACCCUUCAUUGGUAAUUUCUGUUAUUUUAAUCAAAACUUUGACACCUUGUUACACUUGUAUUUACUCUAAUUGUUGUAUCAGCACACUGGCACAUCGGCAAAGACCAGAAGCAUGACUGCCGAUGCCCCCCAGUCCAGCCAACCGAAGAGAAAAGGUCCCAAGAGUACCAGACCGCAAGCGAAGCGCCAGAGAAUAGCAACACCUCCCCCUCCUCCAAGGUCACCGAUCCCAGUGGAAUCGUCUCCCUCUUCUCCAGAAGCCCAGACACAACAAGUACCAUCUCCUCAGCCACAGGAAGAACCCCAAACAGAAGAGCCUCAGCCAGAGGAAACAUCGGCUGACGUACACGAGCAGACCGCCGAUCCAACAGGCUUAAUCAUAGCAUUGGUAGUCUCCUCUAUUCAGACCAGCACUGCACCUCCUCAAGGUAACAUACUUUCUAUUUAAUGCCGAUGAACCUACUUUUCCACUUUAUAAUUACCUUUGUUAAUCUCUCAGCUGACAUAGUUUCAUCGGCAGUUCUAGCCGAUCAGCCUGUGGUUCCAUCGGCCUCGUCUAGUCAGAGGUGAGAAAUAGCUCUGAAACAAGUAAGUUACCCGGUCUCUAAUUUUAUUGCUAUCAGUACUUGAUCAUAAAAAUAACUUAUUUUAUCUUCCUUUUCAGGAACAAGACUCUCCUGACAGCUUGUUGUCCUUCGCCAUUGAAAUCUCCGAGGAUGAAGGCGAGGAAGCAAGUUCCUCUCGAGCAGUUGGAAUCACAUCGGCAGAGAUUAGAGCAAAGUUGGAAGAUCUGUUAGCCCUGCUUCAUCAAGAUACAGCGCAGUUGGUCGAUGACUCUGACCCAGCCAAAGCUCUGUUCAAGGCUCUCAGAGGUCAAAUCCCUGCCGAUGCCGAGGAGAUUCUUUUUCAGGCUGCACACUAAGAGAGUCGUCAACUGCAAUAUCAAAAGGCUGCCCAGCGCCUUGCCGAUAGAGCCGCUCACACUCAGCUCUCAGAGGAAAUGAUGAAAGUGAAACUCCUUGCCGAUGAGAAACAUAAGAGCAUCGGCAUUCUGAAAUCCUCAGGAGACAUUCUGAAGCAAAAGAUCUCUGAUCUAUCGGCAAAGAGAGAUGCCCUGUUGGCAGAACUUAAAUAGGUGGAAGAAACUCUGUCCCAAGCUCAACAGGAAGAAAGCCAGAUGCCCAAGAUGAUCAAGACCCUUGAACAAGAGCGGAACACCUAAGCUCGCAAGGCGCUGCAGAUGAAGAAGAAACUGAAGCCAGUAGAGGGGUCUGCCGAUGAAGACAUGAAAGAGAUAGAAGAGGCCAACCAGAUUCGUCUGCGCGCCAUAUCAACGAUCCAGGCUCUACUGAACACAUGAAUUCUUCAUCGGCGGCACGCCCUGCUCUUCUCUUUUAAAUACUCCUGAUUAUUUUGGUCCAGCCGAUAGGACUGUUAUCGGCACCCUUUUAAAACACUAAGCCCGGCCCCAGAUACAGUUUCAUCUAGCCGAUAGGAAUGUUAUCGGCACUUAAACUUUUCAUGCAUCGACCCAUAUGCUUGGGUAAUAUUUCUUUAGAUAUUUGCCAUUUAAUGCCCUGGGAAAUACAACCCCUUCGAGAGUUUCUAGAAAAUAGGCAUUGCCAGCAGCAGAUCGAUUUAUCUGAUAGGGACCUUCCCAAUUAGGAGACCACUUCCCAAAUUUUGAACUUUUAGUCCCGAUCGGUAAGAUCAACUUCCAUACUAAAUCCCCAUCGGCAAACUCCUUAGCUUUAACUUUCUUAUCAUACCAUCUGGCAAUUCUUUUCUUAUUUUCUUCUAUGCCUACCAAAGCCCUUAGCCGAUGCUCUGCUAAAUCAUCCAACUCGUCUUUUAUCAAAGUAGCAUAGUCAUCGGCAGCCAAUUGGUCCUGAAAAGAUAAUCGCCUAGAUCCAGUCUUAAUUUCCCAAGGUAGCACUGCAUCAUGUCCAUACACCAAUUGAUAAGGUGAAACUUUGGUCGACCCAUGACAAGCCAUCCGAUAUGACCAUAAAGCUUCAUUCAACAAUGUAUGCCACCUUCUAGGAUUUUCCUCAAUCUUUCGUUUAAUGAGUUUGAUAAUUCCUUUGUUAGAUGCCUUGGCCUGCCUAUUAGCUUGAGCAUAAUAAGGAGAAGAAUUCAACACCUUAAUUCCCAUACCGAUUGCAAACUUGUCAAACUCCCCCGAUGUAAACAUAGUACCUUGAUCGGUAGUAACUGUUUGAGGAAUACCAAAUCGGUAAAUAAUAUGCUCUUUCACAAAAUCAAUCAUGUUGGCCGAUGUGACUUUCUUCAAAGGAAUAGCUUCAACCCACUUUGUGAAAUAAUCAGUGGCAACCAAGAUGAAUUUAUGCCCUUUACUUGAUGGCGGGUAAAUCUGGCCGAUUAGAUCAAUAGCCCAUCCCCGGAACGGCCAAGGUUUAAUGAUGGGAUUCAUGGCCGAUGCGGGCGCUCUUUGAAUAUUGCCAAACUUCUGACAUCCUUGACACCCUUUGAAAUAUUUGAAACAAUCCUCAAGUAUGGUCGGCCAAUAAUACCCAUCCCGCCUAAUCAUCCACUUCAUCUUGAAAGCUGACUGAUGCGCUCCACACACUCCUUCAUGGAUUUCUCCUAUCAAACUUUUAGCUUCAUCAUCACCCAAGCAUUUGAGAAGAACCCCAUCAAUUGUUCGAUAAUAUAGUUCAUCUUCAAGGAGCACAUACUUGGUAUCUUAAACCAAACACGUCUCUCAACUCUCUUGGAUGGAUCCUUUAAAUAAUCAACGAUUUCUUUUCUCCAAUCAUCGGCACUGAUUGCCGAUAUUGUAUUUAAUAUGGGCUGAUAUCCCGAGGCAUGCUGAGCCAACAGAUUAGCCUCUUCAUUGUGCAAUCGAGGAACAUGCUCUAAUCGGAAAUCUUUGAAUUCCUUUAAUAGUUGCAUACUUUUUUCAUAAUAAGUUAUCAAAACUUCACUUCGGCAUUCAUAGCUUCCAGCCAAUUGAUUUAUAACCAGCAUAGAAUCCCCAAAGACUUUAACAGCAUCAGCAUGGACUUCUCUUAACAAUUCCAAACCCUUUAUCAAAGCUUGAUACUCGGCUUGAUUAUUCGUUGACGUAGCAACAAUGGGCAAAGAGAACUCAUACUUCCUUUCCUGAGGGGAAACUAAUACUAUACCGAUUCCUGCCCCCGGUCACACGUGGAUCCAUCAAAGAAGAGCGUCCAAGGCACAAUUUCCAAAGUUUCUACUGUACCGCAAUGUUGAGUCACAAAAUCGGCCAUAAUCUAUCCUUUAACUGCUUUAGCCGAUUCGUAACGCAGAUCAAAUUCCGACAAUGCUAAAAUCCACUUACCGAUCCUGCCGCUCAUGAUCGGCAUAGAUAGCAUAUACCGGACCACAUCAUCUUUACAUAUAACAGUGCAUUCGGCCGAUAGCAAAUAGUGCCUCAAUUUAAUGCAGGAGAAAUAUAGGCAUAAACAUAAUUUUUCAAUGGCCGAAUACCUGGUCUCAGCAUCAAUCAACCUUCUGCUCAAAUAAUAAAUCACACGUUCCUUCCCUUCAAAUUCUUGAAUUAAGGCCGAACCGAUGACCAUCCCAUCGGUAGAUAGAUAUAAUGUGAAGGGCUUCCCUUGCUGAGGUGGAACCAAAACUGGAGGAUUUACCAAGUAACUCUUGAUUUCAUCUAGAGCCAACUGUUGCUCUUUCCCCCCAUAUAAACUCUUCAUCGGCUUUCAAUUUAAGCAAAGGACUGAAAACACGAAUUUUACCAGACAAAUUAGAUAUAAACCGCCUGAUAAAAUUUACCUUGCCGAUCAAGGAUUGGAGUUCAGUCUUGUUAGUAGGGGCAACAAUUUUGUUGAUAGCAUCAAUAGAUCGUCUACUAAUUUCAAUUCCCCUCUAAUGCACCAUGAAACCAAGAAACUGUCCUGCCGAUACACCAAAUGCACACUUAUUGGGAUUCAUAUUUAAACCAUGUUUUCUCAUGCAUUCCAACACCUUUCGCAAAUCGGCAAGAUGCUUCGUGAAAUCCCCAGAUUUAACCACCACAUCAUCAAUAUAAAUCUCCACCAGCUUGCUGAUGAACUCAUGGAAGAUAAAAUUCAUGGCCCUCUGAUAAGUAGCACCACCAUUUUUCAAGCCAAAGGUCAUGACUAUCCAUUCAAACAACCCAACAUGACCAGGACAUCUAAAUGCAGUCUUUGGAAUAUCCUCUUCAGCCAUGAAUAUUUGAUUGUAUCCUGCAUUACCAUCCAUAAAGCUGAUGAUCCGAUGUCCAGCCGUAGCAUCAACUAGUAGAUCGGCAACAGGCAUUGGGUACCCAUCCAUCGGCGUAGCUUUAUUAAGAUUCCUGAAAUCAAUGCAAACCCAAAGCUUCCCAUUUUUCUUGUAAACUGGAACAACAUUAGAAAUCCAUUUGGCUUACCGACAUUGCCGAAUAAAUUUAGCUUCGAUGAGUUUGGUUAUUUCGGCCUUAAUGUCAAGAAGAAUAUUAGGAUUACAUCGGCGAGCUGGCUGCUGAUGUGGCUGAAAUCCAGACUUGAUGGGUAACCAAUGUUCAACAAUCGAUCGGUCUAAACCUGGCAUCUCAGUAUAAUCCCAAGCAAAGCAAUCUUUAUAUUCCUUUAACAAAUCGGUUAACUGCUGCUUACACUCAGAAUUUAACUUCGCACUAAUAAUGGUAGGCCUAGGCUUGUCACCACUACCUAUAUCUACCUCUACUAAAUCAUCGGCCGAUGUGAAUCCUUGGCCUAAUUUUCCAUCAUCGGCGAAUCUAUCCAUUAAAACUCCUCAUCAGAACCGACUGCUUGGAUCGGUGGAAUUUCAUAAUCGGCAACUUUGAGGAAAUCCUUCUCCCAAAUUUCUCCUGAGAUGCACCUAGUUCUUUCAUAGGUGUCUGCUUCUCCCGAUGCAAUGACAUAAGAAGAAUCUCCUAGGACAAUCUAAAUUUUAUCACCUACCCAGUGAACCAAGCAUUGGUACAUUGUCGAUGGUAUGCAACAAUUGGCAUGGAUCCAAUCUCUCCCUAGCAGCAAAUUAUAAGCACCUUUUCCACUGAUCACAAAAAAAGGUUGUCGGCAAGGUUUUGCUGCCGAUGGUCAACUCGACACAGAUUGCCCCCUUAACCGGAGACACAUUUCCUUCAAAGUCUUUUAGCAUCAUAUUGGUUUUGGUCAGAUCUUGAUCUCCUUUUCCAAGCUUCCGAUAGACUGCAUAUGGCAUGAUGUUGAUAGCAGCUCCACCAUCAAUUAAUAUUUUGGUCAUCGGCUGACCAUCAACUCUUCCUUUGACAAACAGAGCUUUAAGAUGCUGCCUUUCAUUAUCGGCAUGUUUUUCAAAGAUAGCUGUCAUCGGAUCCAGAGCCAACUGAGCUAUUUGGUCGGAAAACUCCAACUCCUCAUCAUCACUGGAUGGCGCAAGGAAUUCCAUCAGCAACAUGAAUACCAUGUUGAAAUCUGCCGAUGGUCCCUUUCCCUUUGGAUCUAGUUGUUGCUGAUCCCCAGGUUAGCCAAAGUUCUCGCCCUUUUUUAGCUCUUCUCGUCUUUCGCGCUGCAGUCUCCUUUUCUGUGUCUUAGUCAACCCUUCUGGACACCAUGGGGGAAGUGGUGACUGCCUUGCUGAUGGACGACGAUGUUCCCUUGACUCCAUCUGAUAAGUAUUAGCGUCCCUGCAAAACAUAAACUCAUUGGGAACCCGAGCAUUUGCCAUCUCUUCAAGCUCUUCUUGGUUCCUAGGAAAAUAUUGAACACGAUCACCAAGCCUAUCGUGUACACUGAGUCUGCCCCCCAGCCGAUCAUGAAUUGACGCUCUCCCCCUAAUCGGCCCAUUAAACCUCCGAUCAUCAUCGUGAUAGCGCCGAUCGGAUCUGUCAUACCGAUCAUAGCCAUUGCAUUCGGGGCAGUCUCUAACAGUAGGCAACUUGAUGUUCUGUUCCCAGCAAUGGAUAAAGAAUGGGCAGUUCCAGUGAUCUUUGUGCCGAUCCUACUCCCGUCGGCGUCUUUCUUCUUCCCGAUGAUAAUCUUCUUGCUGGCGCCGAUACCAAUCUUCACGUUGCUGCCAAGUUUCCCGAGGCCUCCUAUGAGUUAUCACAAUGCCGGAUCGGGGAGGCCUCCCUGAGCUAUUUCCUCCUGGAUCAAACCCUUUCCUUUGGCAUUGGCAGCAGUAAUUUGAUGCUGAGGAUCUACCGAUGCACUCUUUUCAGCUGCUUCAGAUGUCAAAACCUUGGUCUUUCCCUUAGCAUCCAACAUAUUUGUUGGGAAAGGAUGUUGAUCAAUCUUCAUCGACUUCUGAGCUUUAGAACUAUCAAACUUUAUUCUCUCAGAUUCUAUAGCCGAUUGCAGCUGUUGCCUGAAAACUUUGCACUCAUUGGUGCUGUGAGAAAUCGCAUUGUGCCACUUGCAAUAUUUCAUCUUCUUCAAUUCCUCAGCCGAUGGAAUCACAUGAUUGGGUGACAACUUGAUUUGACCUUCCUGAAGUAAAAAGUCAAAUAUCCUAUCGGCUUUGGUGACGUCAAAUGCGAACUUUUUUGGCUCCUUAUGUCCAAAAGGGCAAGACAUCAGCUUCUUAUUUUUCACCCAUUCUGCCAAACCGAUGACUGGCUCCUCAUCAGAAUCCGAGCUUGUUGCUUCAUCAACAAAUGACACCUUUUUAUUCCAUGCCCUCUUGGGCUCAAAAGGUCUGACAUCUUGAUCAGAAAUUCUCUGCACCAAGUGACUUAAGCUUUCGAACUCUUGAGAAGCAUAUUUGUCCCUGAUGUGCGGCAAUAGACCCUGGAAAGCCAAAUCGGCUAGCUGCCGAUCGUCCAAAACCAGACUAUAGCAUUUGUUCUUGACCUCCCGCAUUCUCUGCACAAAACUUUCAACUGAUUCAUCAUUGCAUUGCUUUAAUUUGACCAAAUCGGUGAUCUUCUUUUCAUAGAUUCUAGAAAAGAAGUACUUGUGGAAUUGCUUCUCUAGAUCGGCCCAAGUAAUCACUGAGUUGGGAGGCAACGAUAUAAACCAAGUGAAUGCCGAUCCAGACAAUGAUGACGAGAACAAACGAACCCUUAACUCGUCCCUGUUAGCAGCUUCUCCACAUUGGAUGAUGAAUCUGUUGACAUGUUCCUUGGUUGAUGUAUCAUCCUGUCCAGAAAACUUAGUGAAAUCUGGCACCUUGUACCGAUUUGGAAGUGGAAUUAAAUCAUAUGCAGGAGGAUAUGGUGUCCUAUAAGAGUAAGUGUUGUCUUUGGGUUUUAUCCCAAAUUGGUCUCUCAUUACUUCAGCAAUCUUGUCGGCCCAAUAAGCGUCGGCAUCCUGCCGAUGGGGUGGUUGUGGAUCUGGCACCUGCUGAUAGGCUUCCACGUGUCUAUGCGGUGCGCGAUCUGCAUGGAACAUUGGGUUAAUCUGCUGACCACCAAUCUAUUGACCACCAAUCUGCUGGCCAAGAUUCAUUGGCUGGUUGGCCAACCCUUGAUUCUGGAACCCAGGUUGGAUCUGGCCCUGUUGAAACCCUGGAACUUGAUGAUUCUGUUGAAGCAUCUGUGGAAAGACUGAUUGCCCUGUCCAUGCAUUGUUUGGAUUCAUCGGCAUAAACCCUGCCAAUGACUGGUAAUUGGGCAUCAUCAUUGAAUUGACAUACCCUGGCUGAGUCAUAAACCUCUGCUGCAUCGGCAUUGAUUCUGCCGAUGCGUUAGGCAUCUGGAACGUUGGAGCUUGAGAAUUCCCAGUAUAAGGUCUUGCAGUAGUAGUUGUAGUAUACUAGGGACUCUGAUUCAGCGGCAUAUUUGGAGGUGCCGAUGCCAUAGGAGCCUUGCCUCUCACAUCAGCCGUUUGAGAUAUGCCAGGCGUCUUCAACAUGAACUCUGGGGGCAUACCAAAACCCCACCAGUUAGGAGGAACAGAUCCCGACAUUGCUGAUGCCAAUAGAUCUGUGGCUAGCUUGGUUGACUCAUCUGAUGUUGAUGUAUUGGCCGGCAUUGGUGUGGAUUGUGUAUUAGUGACUCCUAACAUGCCUGGAGGAACGACAGUUUCUGUACCCGCAGCGGUUGUAGCAACCGAUGGAGCUGUGACCACCAGUGAUCCUGGCUGAUGAUGAGAAGGACCCACAUAAUUUGAUGGCAAUUGUCCUUCUUUGAAAGUUCUAGCCACGACAUUGAAAACCGUAUUGGACAGCACACCAGCUUGAUUGAUCAAGGCACGGUUAAUAUCACUAUCAACCAUGUCUUGAAGUUUACCAGGAUUGGCUUCAAAAGUAACCUACCGAGGUGCCGGCAGAGCUUCCUUCUGGAUUACCUCGCCACUCCUGUUGAUGCUGAAGGAUUUCAAACAUUGCUGCUUGUAGUCUUCCAUGGCUUUUGCAAUAGCCUGUUUUUGCUCAUCUCUGAGAUUGGCUUCUGUCACGGGGAUGACGUUCUCCAAGUCGAACUCAGAAGUCGCCAUGUCGAUCUUGAUCUUGAUUUCAUCCCACUGGGCAUGCCAAAAGAUGUGUUGAUGCAAAACUUGAUCUACAAACACAAAGGGCUAAUACCCGAUUCAAACGUUAAGGCGUGCCAGCCGAUUUGACCUUACUAUCGGCAAAGGUGAUAACUCGAAUACUUUGGUCCCGACAACAGCGAUGCGCCCGGAUGUCACGGCCAAGAGGUAUUUACGCGGAACUCGAGAAUACGCCAAGCUUAAGUCGACGAAUUCCAAAGAACUCGUAAUAAAAAAGGAAAAGUAUGACGAAGUCGUCGAAAAAGUAGAUGCUGGAAUAUGAGUAAAAAUUUGUGUUUGAUUGAUUGAUAGAUUCCUCAUUACAAGGCCCUAGGGUCUACAUUUAUACCCUGCUCAAAGACCUACAAUCCGACAUGACUAGGACUCAAAUUCCAAUUCAAACGGAGUCCGUAUACAAAACGUCUUUAAAUAACUAAGGAAAACAUAAAACUAUCCUUUUGCAACCGACCAGGAUACCACCAUAGAUCAAUCGGCAACUCCCGCGCUCCCCUCCAUAUUCAUCGGUAGAUUUCCUAUUAUGACCAUCGACAAACACCAAUACGGAUCAUCAGUAUAAACAUGUCACCACCCUCUGGACUUAGUCACAUUCAAUUGCCUCUCUCAUCGGCAACCAUCUCCAUCGGCAAUCAUUCCUGCAGAUUAGUUACCGUUGCUCCGCCUGCCGAUCUGUACUUUGCUGACCCCCAGGUACGUGUCUAAAAACGGUGUCAACACAAAGUGACAAGAAGUACAAGGACAAGAAGAAAGGGGAAGCUCACCUCGGGCAAGAAUGGCAAUCGGACAGUGACAGUGAUGAUGAUGACAAUGAGAAGAAGAGUAUAGCUACCAUCGCCGUAUAAGAAAGAUCCUCCCCAACCAAAAUCUUCACCAACAUUGCCUCAUCUACGGCACUCAUCUCCGACACCCACUCAUCGCCUAGGCUCUUCGCUAAUCUCUCUGAUGACGAUGAUGACACUCCUACAUGCCUUAUGGCAAAAGGAGACAAGGUACAAACUGACUCCCCUCCUCAAACCACUAGUGACUAUGAUAGUGAUUAUGAACAUGAUGAAAACUAUGCUAAUAAUCUCAUUAAGAAAUAUGGUAAAGCUGCUGCAACUAAAAUUCUAAAGCUAAUAUACGCUAAUGACAAGCUUGAGUCAUGCAUCGAGUCGCAAGGCGAAUUGUUCCUAGAGGAAAGGGAGAAGAACCAAGGGCUCGAAGUAUGUCUCUCCAAGGAAAAGGAGAGGGUUGAGAAAUUGGGUGUAGAAUUGUCUCUAGUCAAAGACUCCAAUGAGCGAUUGACUAAGGAACAUUCCUCACUCAAUGGCUCUUUGGCUAGCCUAAAGAAUGAUCAUAGUUUGGCUCAAGAAAGCCUCACAAGCUUGACAACAAAAUAUCAUAAGCUUGAACUAAACUAUGAAAAGCUUUGGUCUAGCACCUCUACCGCUUCCAAGGAUUCAAAGGCUUCUACAAGUAAAAGCUGUGAAAGAUGCAUAUAUGUUGACAUAAAUGCAUGUCUCACUAACCUUGAUGAGUUAGCCAAGAAGGACAAAGAAAUUCAAAGACUGAACACUAUCAUCAAGAUUGGUUGCAAGUGCAAGGACAAGCAGCCGGUAAAUGUGUUCAAGGCAUCAAGGCACCCCAUAAUCAAGGAUGGCCUUGGAUACAAUCGGUACAAUGGUAAGGCCAAUGGGAGAAACAUGAUAAAUGGAGUGGCUUGUGUGAAGUUCAACAAGAGUGUGCCUCUUGUUGACCUUAUUGACAAGGUGAACAAUGUUGCCACUCCUACAAUCCAACUUACAAACAACAAGAACUUCAAGAAGAAGCAAGGAGAAGUGCCCAAGCAACAAGCGCCUAUCUCACGCAAUCAUAUUUGUGAUUACAUGUGUUGUUGGGAUAAGGAUGGCAAGAUUGUUGUGAAAUAUAUGGGCGCCCUCAAGAAGAGAUAAAUCUUGAGGAGUGUUUGGGUGCCCAAAUCUUAUGUGUCUAACCCCCUAGGUUCCAACUCGGGACCUAAAACAAAGGCUUAAUCUUAUCUUGUAGGUUUAUUCCUCCGGUGGGCCAAGUUGGGUGCUUGAUAGUGGAUGCACCAAUCACAUGACCGGAGAGAAGAACAUGUUCACCUCCUUUCAACCAAGUCAAAUCACAAGUGAAAGGAUUGUCUUUGGUGACAAUAGUAAAGGAGAUAUCCUUGGUUUAGGUAAAAUUGAAAUUUCAAAUGAUAAUUCCAUUUUGAAUGUUUUGCUUGUGGAUUCGUUGGGAUACAAUUUGUUAUCCGUCUCACAACUUUGUGAGAAGGGUUACAAUUGUCUCUUUACGGAUAAGGGUGUGGAAGUCUCUAGAAGGUCGGAUUCCUCUAUUGCUUUUAUGGGUCAACUAAAGGGCAAGCUCUAUCUAGUUGAUUUUUCAGCUAGUAGAGUGGGGUCCGAGACUUGUUUAGUGGCAAAAUCUAGCAUGGGCUGGCUGUGGCAUCGCCGUCUAGCCCAUGUUGGGAUGAGGAACUUGGCCGAUCUUCAAAGAGGUGAACACAUCCUUGGACUAAUGAAUGUUUCUUUUCAGAAAGACAGAAUUUGCAGUGCAUGUCAAGCGAGAAAACAAGUUGGAGCUAAGCAUCCCGCGAAGAACAUUGUGACUACAUCAAGACCACUUGAGCUUCUUCACAUGGAUUUAUUCAGACCCAAUGCUUACAUAAGCAUUGGAGGUAACAAAUAUGGUUUUGUAAUUGUUGAUGACUUUUCUCGCUUCACUUGGGUAUUCUUUUUAAAGGACAAGAGUGAGACUCAAGGGAUCUUCAAGAAGUUUGCAAGAAGUGCUCAAAAUGAGUUUGAAGUGAAGAUCAAGAAAGUGAGAAGCGAUAACGGGACCGAAUUUAGAAAUACCAACAUUGAAGCAUACCUUGAUGAAGAAGGCAUCAAGCAUGAGAUCUCGGUUGCAUAUACUCCACAGCAAAACGGUGUGGUGGAAAGGAAUAACCGAACACUCAUUGAAGCCGCAAGAGCAAUGUUGGAUGAAUACAAGAUCUCCGAAAAGGAUUAUUGGGCGCGUUAACACUUCAUGUCACGCAAUCAACCGCUUAUACCUCCUCAAGUUGAGGAAGAAAACUGCCUACGAGCUUCUAGCCGGUAAAAAGCCUAAGGUGGAUUACUUUAGAGUUUUUGGAUGCAAGUGUUUCAUACUUAAUAAAAGAUCCAAAAGCUCUAAGUUCUCACCGAAGGUUGAUGAAGGGUUCUUACUUGGUUAUGCUACUAAUCAACAUGGCUAUCGUGUUUUCAAUGAGACUACCGGUCAAAUUGAAAUAGCGGUAGACAUGACUUUUGAUGAAAGCGACGGCUCCCAAAAGGAGCAAGUCAAUGCUGAAAUUCUAGGUAAAGAAGAGCCAUCUCGCCAAGUAGUCAAAAAGCUUGCUACCGGUGAAGUGAAACCCAUUGAAGAAGAAGAAGAUGAUGCACACAUGCAAAUUUCUCAUGACCCAAACUUGCAUCAUGGGUCAACCAAUGCCCAUGAUGAUGCUUCCACAUCAAGAAGAAGUCAUGACUCAAGAGAACAAGUUGGACAAGAUCCACCUCUAGCACAAGAACCAAACCAAGAUGGAGAUCAAAACGUUCAAGAUCUAGAUUUUCAAAUCAACCAAGACCAUGAAGACGAAGAUGAUGGUCCCAUUCAAACAAGAACAGCAGUGCGUCACCCAAGAGUUCAUCACUCUAUUCAACGGGAUCAUCCCGUUGAUAGCAUUUUGGGAGACAUACAACGAGGGGUAACAACACGCUCUCGUUUAGUUGGUUUUUGUGAACAUUACUCUUUUGUCUCCUCUAUGUUGCCAAAUAGGGUGGAAGAUGCCUUGGCGGAUCCAGAUUGGGUGAUGGCUAUGAAAGAAGAGUUGAACAACUUCACUAGGAAUGAAGUCUGGUCCUUGGUGGAAAGACCCAAGAAAAAUGUGAUAGGUACCAAAUGGGUCUUCCGCAACAAAGAAGAUGAGUAUGGCAUGGUCACUAGAAACAAGGCUCGGUUGGUUGCCAAAGGUUUAACUCAAAUUGAAGGUUUGGACUUUGGGGAGACUUAUGCACCUGUAGCUAGGCUUGAAUCUAUUCGCAUAUUACUUGCCUUUGCUGCUCACCAUGAUUUCAAGUUGUUUCAAAUGGACGUGAAAAGUGCAUUCCUCAAUGGCCCCCUAUCCGAGACCGUGUAUGUGGAGCAACCGCCGGGUUUUGAAGAUCCACAUCAUCAUGAUCAUGUCUACAAGCUGGACAAGGCACUCUAUGGGCUUAAGCAAGCCCCUAGAGCUUGGUAUGAUUGUCUCAAGGAUUUUCUACUCAAACAAGGGUUUGAGAUUGGAAAAGCCGAUCCCACUUUAUUUACUCGCAAAGUCAAUAAUGAUAUUUUUAUAUGCCAGAUAUAUGUCGAUGACAUUAUAUUUGGUAGUACUAAUGCGGACUUCAGUGAGGAAUUUAGUAGGAUCAUGACAAAAAGGUUCGAGAUGUCCAUGAUGGGGGAGUUGACGUACUUCCUUAGAUUUCAAAUCAAGCAACUCAAGGACGGCACGUUCAUAAGUCAAACCAAGUACACCACCGACAUGCUAAAGAAGUUUGACAUGGACAAGGCUAAACCCAUAAAGACACCAAUGCCAACAACCGGACACCUUGAUCUUGAUGGAGACGGCAAGGCCAUUGAUCAAAAGGUAUAUCGCUCCAUGAUUGGAUCUUUGCUUUACCUUUAUGCAUCAAGGCCUGAUAUUAUGCUUAGUGUGUCCAUGUGUGCAAGAUUUCAAGCUAAUCCGAAAGAAUGCCAUCUUAUGGCUGUUAAGAGAAUUUUUCGGUAUCUUGUGUUCACUCCUAAUCUUGGCUUAUGGUACCCAAAGGGCUCCACUUUCACUCUACUUGGCUAUUCUGAUUCGGACUAUGCCGGUUGUAGGGUAGAGCGAAAGAGUACAUCAGGGACUUGCCAAUUUCUUAGUAGGUAUUUGGUGUCCUGGAGUUCUAAGAAACAAAACUCCAUUGCCCUUUCCACCGCUGAAGCCGAGUAUGUGGCGGCCGGCACCUGCUGUGCCCAGCUGCUUUGGAUGAAGCAAACCUUGAGAGACUUUGGUUGUGAGCAAAGCAAGAUUCCCCUCUUAUGUGACAAUGAGGGGGCAAUCAAGCUUGCUGAUAACCCCGUCAACCACUCCAGAACAAAGCACAUAGACAUUCGCCAUCACUUCCUGAGAGACCACCAAUCCAAAGGAGAUAUCGCUGUGCAACAUGUGAGAACCGAAUUUCAGUUAGCCAAUAUCUUCACUAAACCUCUAGAUGAGUCAAGAUUUUGUGCUUUGAGGCGUGAACUAAAUUUUGUUGAUUCUCAUAAGAUGGCUUGAUGUCUUGCACAUACUUGAUUGAUUAGAAAGGUCAAAACUUUAUAAAAAAAAUUGAGUGCUAUUUUCAAAAUCUAUUUUUCACAUCUCAAGCAUGACCAUUGUUUUGUAAUGAUUUGAUGAAAUCUGGACAUGUUUGAUUUGUUUCUAAGAUUGCCACACUAAGUUCGCCUCUGCGCUGAUUCCCUGUUCUACCGGUGGUACCGGCGCCCUGCCCCGGUGGUACCGGCUCUUGCCGGUGGUACCGGCCAAAACCCGGUAGCACCGGUAGACCAAAAUCCUGCAGAACUCCGCGCAUAGAUCUCUGGCUCGCCGGUGGUACCGGCCCUUGAAGCCGGUAGUACCGGCAGUGUUUUUUACUGCGGUAUUUAAGCCGCCCGCGGUUAUUUUUCUCUGCCUUAUCUCUUCCCACCCGCCCGCCCCUUCUUCUCUUCUCCCGGCGGCGGCGGCGGCGGCUUUCUUGCCCCGAUCUCUCGGCUCCUCCAUCUAAGUCGCCCAAUCUUUGAGGAGGACCUUUCCCCAGCCGUGAGGGACGCGGAAGGCUCUUGGUUGACUCCAAGACCCUUGGGUUUGCUUGGAUUUGGCGUCUUUUCUCUGUGACGCAAGGUACUCUUUGAAAUUGCCUGAUCUCCCAAUGUACCUUAUUUUAGGCCAUUUCCUCGCACUCCUUUCCUUAUCUUAGCAUGUUCUUGCUUCUAGAAUGCCUUAUGUGUUUUUCCCUUGGUCGAUUCGAUCGAUUGGAGGUGAUUUCCUUGUUCACCGGUGCCGCCGGUGGUACCGGCUCUAGGGCCGAUGGUACCGGCCCCUGUGAGCAAGGCAGUUCCUCCCAUCGCCUUGAUCGAUUCCUUGCUGCAUUCUAGUGCGGUCUUGUAAUCUUUUCAUGCUGCCCCUCUUUGUGGUGUUGCAGAACGGAUUCCGGGAAGCGCAAGAAUCCUCCCCGUGGUGCUCGGCCUAGAUCCAGUGAUGUCGGCGGUCGGUCUGCGGAACGGGCAGUGCGUGGCCGUGGGACUCCUUCCCGUGGUCAGGGUGCGGCUGGUGCUUCCACCGGUGAUGAGGGCAUUCCUGCCCCUCUUCACACCCACACUGUCUCGUGUCCGCCCCUCUCUCACCGUGACAGAGUUCACAGUCAAGCCGUGCCUGAUCCUGUGCAAGAGGAAGGACGAGCCAUGGACCCCAAUGUCCUUCGUCGCUCGCCCCUGCAUCUCAGUGAGGUUGGUGCUCAUCGGACUCUCUCAUGGCAUCCUCAAUUUAAUGCUCAUGUCCGGAGGCCCUCUAUUCCUUCUGGCACGCAGUCCUGGCUUGGUAUUGAUUACAAGAAGCGUCUUGUGGACUUACGCAAUCUGUGCAGCGAGAACCCAUACAAGUUCAUCAAGUUUGAGGGAGUUGAGGAGCGGUUUUGGUCUCAAUUUCAAAAUGACUUCUAUGAGUCCAUCCUCUACAAGGCCAGCAAAGCCACCAAGAAUGGUCCUCUUUUUCAGCACAAGUAUGUGGUCCUCAAGUCUUUGCAAGAAUUCAAUCAUCCUGAGGUCACUGCUUUAAUCCACAAGCUUUAAGAAUGGCGCCUCCUUCCCCUUAUGACCUUUGAGAAGAAUUGGAAUGAGGAAAUCAUCUUUCAGUUUUGAGCAACCUUGUGGGUUGAUCAAGCUUCUAGGAUGCUGCACUGGAUGACUCAAGGUGUUCAUUAUCACCUUGAUUUUAUCACAUUCUCUCACCUGCUUGGUUUUGAUCAUGCGGAUCGCGAUGCACCCCGGCUGUCCAACAUCUUCGCUGAGGGGAUUUCUAAGGCUGAUCUUGAUGCUGCUGAUAUGUACAAGCCUGGAGCUCAUCCGGAUUUCAAGACCACUCAGUUGAAGCCGUUCUUCUAUGUGCUGAACAACUUGAUCCGUUACACCAUUGACCCCAAGUUUGGAGAUUCUAUUCACCUUCGUCUUGAUGCUCCCAAGAUCUUGGCUCGCUUUGGUGCUAAUGGUGGCCGCUUUGGUGUCUCGGAUUUCAUGUGGAACAAGAUUGUGGAUGCGUCCGUGGAUCCUCACAAGUACUUGCCUUAUGCUCCCUAUCUCAUGCAUAUCAUUGAGCAAGUUGCUGGAGUACAGUUCUCGCACCCAUGUGUUCAUACUCCGGUUCGUGCCAAGCACAUGGGUGCUCCUCAUGCUCCUCCUCUUAGUCCUGCUAGUGCUGCUACUCCUGCUGGUGCUGCUACUCCCGCUGGUGCUGUUCCUACUGCUGGUGCUGAUGAUGCUCAAGAGGCAGCUGUCCCUCCUCAGGACAGCGGUUGUGGACGCCGCAGCCCUACCCGUCAUGCGCUGCAGCGGUUCUUCUCUUAUUUUUGCUAUUGUCAGAAGAAGACCGAUCAGUGUCUCCAUCGUCUUGAAGAGAAGGCCACUCUUCCUUCGUCCUCUCCUCUUCGUGAGUUCCAGGACCCCUAUGAUGAAUAUGACAACAUGUACAGGACUUAUGUUGAUGAGGAUGAGGAGCAGCAGGAUCCUCCACCACCCUCUGCUUUUGAUCCAUCUUAUGGUGGUGGGAUCCCUGCUGGUUUCUGCAUGGAGGACACCGAGGCCGGCUUUGCUUAUCAGGACAUAUUUGGACCCAUAGAUGAAGUCACUAGGGCCUCUGCCUCUGCUCCUCCUCCUCACGAGUAGUCUACCUCCGCUGAUCCUCAUGGUAAGGGGCUGUUGCGUACCUUGAUCGACUACGACGACGACGACGACCUCGAUGAUGAUGGCGAGUAGUCUUUCUAGCUCUUUCUCGCAGCCUACCAUUUUUGGCACUUGCUGCCAAAGGGGGAGUGUUAGGCUUAUCUUUAAUGUAAUAAGUUAGUUGUUGGUGCCCUUCUUAAACCUUUCUAAGUGGUGAACUAUGUGUGGUGAACAAGAACUACUUUUGUGUGAUGGUUGAUUGUAAGCUAAACACUUUUAUUUCUUUACUAUAUCCUGCUUGUUUUAGCUUAUUGAGUUUUUUAGUUCUUGCAUAAUCAUUCAAAUUCUUCUUUUACUCUUUGUGAUAUAUCCUGUCAUACGCAUCACAGUUUGUUUCUUGUCACACACACACUCCUUUAGGCACCCUACGGAUUGCAAAGUUUAGGGGGAGCUUGAUCUUAAUGUAUGUCAUCUUGAUAUUAAUCAAGAUUUGAAAUUCCAAAUCCCAUGCAUACAUUAAGGGGGAGCCCAACCUGAUUUUUGGAAUUCAAAAGCUCUACUUCUUUCAAUGUUUUAUAAGCCUAAGUUGGUUGUCAUCAAUUACCAAAAAGGGGGAGUUUGUAAGUGCAUUCGCCCCCGGUGUGGGUUUUGAUAAUUAAUGACAAUCAAAUUAGGAACUAACAUGUCUAUCAAGUGUAAUCUACAGGUGUGAGUUCAUUGAUAGAAACAAACAAACACACUUGGUGAAUCACAGCACCCCCAAUUUGUCACCUUUUAAGCGACGUUUCAACUCAAGAAGCUACCUAGUUUUAUUUCUUGUUUGAGUUAUAGGAAACGCCGCACUAUCAAGAGGGAUGCAAAUUAAGUUGGUAAGAUGAGGAUAAAGGUGCUCAGGUCAACUUAGCUUUUGCGCUUAAGAGACAACUUGCACGCACGAACACCUUCAAAGUUUCUUCUCUGCCAGGGUCAGCCGGUAGUACCGGCCCUCAGGGCCGGUGGUACCGGCAGUGCUAGUUCUUCUCCUAAGUUUUGCGAGAAAAUGAACUACCGGUAGUACCGGGCUUUGACCGGUGGUACCGGCUACCGCCAGUGGUACCGGUGAAACGCCGGCAGUACCGGCAGGCCAAAUUCUCGCAGAAUUGCUGAAUGCGGGAAUUUGUACUGCCGGUGGUACCGGCCUUCCACCGGUGGUACCGGCUCAAGGCUGGUAGUACCGGUACUCCUUUUUUCUCGCAUCUUCCACAGCCUUCUCACGUUUAGAUCUGAGGACACCGGUGGUACCGGUGGUUGCACCGGUAGUACCGGUAGGUGUUCUGUACUCUAGUAUAAAUAGCUCUCUCCUCUUUUCUAACUAUUGGCUUGCUCAUUCUAGCUACUCCACAUCUGAGAAAACAGUCUCCAAGCUUUGUCUCACCCACUCUCUCUCCCUCUUGCUCCUAGAUUUCAUUUCUUGAGAGAUUCGAGCUAGAGAAGUGAGAUUAGAGAGUUGGGAGCUUCGAUCUGUGACUUGAGCACUCCGUUCCUCGUCUUGCCGGUUGGUUUGUAUUUGUUACUCUUGGGUUCUUGGAACCCUAGCCGGCUAGGCAUUCUUCGUGGUUGCCCGUGUUGUUUCACUUGUGAGGGCACCCUGAAGUGUUUGUAUUACCCUCUUAUUCUUAGUGGAAUCAUCAAGCCAACCUUUGUGGUUGCUUGAGGAGGAGACCUAAGUGGUCAGACCUUCGUGGUCACCUCAACAACGGGGACAUAGGAACUCCUCAGUGGAGAUUGCCGAACCUCAGGAAAAAUACCUUGUCUUACUGUGGAGGUAGCUUCGACUACCCUUGUUUGUGUUCUUUGUGUUCCUCUCUCUUCCACUCUUCAACAGGUAAACAAAGGUCGAUCUAUGUUGUGGAGAAGGACUAAGCUAAGGAGACUCCAACAACAUCCUCUCCUACACUUAGGAAAGUGGGGUAAAACUCAGAUCUGAAAUCUAAACUCUUUACACUAUGAUUUCGUAGCUAUCUUAGGGAGUCGGUAGUACCAGCAGUUUGCGUCGGUAGUACUGGCUGUGUGACACCAGUAGUACCGGCCCAAACUGUCGGUGGUAGCGACAGGCAUUUGACUUCUGCAACUUGAGUUUUGAGUUUUAGGUUUUUAGAUACGCCUAUUCACCCCCCUCUAGGCCAAUUAGAUCCUUUCACUAUCCAUUAACCGGAUGAUGAGCUCCCUGGUAUGAAGUGUGUCCAAGCUGUAAUCCAAAAAUGUACCAAACCCUACUCGCCUGAUAUGUGAUUUAGCACCUUCUGUCAACUCAAUAGCAGUUUCAGUGACAAUCUUAAGAGAGGACUGCACAAGUGCACUUUUACUUAUAUAUCUUACACCACCCUCAGCAUCCUACAGAAAAUGAGUCAUUUUGGAGUCAUGGCAAGCACAUUGCUGAUAUUUAGUCACAAACUAACAUUUGGGUUCAUUUUAGGUCAAAAUAAAGAUCUCAGGUACACAACAAAGUGCAUGGUGUUCUACUUUAAGGUCUACAAAUUGAGACUGCUCAAAAGAAAGCUGCUUUCUUUUCCCUUUUGUUUGUUAAAUAAGUUGAUGUCUCCUUUAUCUAUGGUUUACCUGGAUGUUGAAUUCUAUGUACCCUCCCAUUAGGUUUUGGAUCCCCCAAAACGGGUAGGAAUCCAACGAUUGAUGUCCUGUCAGUACUAUCAGUUUCUAUUUACUUUCUAAGUCUUAGUUACUUUGGAUAAUAAAACCCGAACCUGUUUAUACAUGGUUUUAGCACCAGCAACAUUGUAGUCUCAGUUACUUUGGAUAAUAAAACCCGGACCUGUUUAACUUAUGAAAGAGCCAGGUGCAUUUCAGGAGAAGUUUGGGAGAAGGAUUUUCUCAAAGUUGCCGAUUAUGAAAUUCCACUGAUCCAAGCAGUCGGUUCUGACGAAGAGUUUUAAUGGAUAGGUUCGCCGAUGAUGGAAAAUUAGGCCAGGGGUUUACAUCGGCCGAUGAUUUAGUAGAAGUAGACAUAGGUAGUGGUGAUAGGCCAAGACCUACUUUUAUUAGUGCUAAGUUAGAUUCUGGGUGUAAGCAACUUAAUCGAUUUGUUAAAGGAAUAUAAAGAUUUCUUUGCUUGGGAUUAUACCGAGAUGCCUGGUUUAGACCGAUCUAUUGUUGAACAUCGGUUGCCUAUCAAGUCUGGGUUUCGGCCGCAUCAGCAGCUAGCACGCUGAUGCAAUCCUAGUAUCCUUUCUGAUAUUAAGGCUGAAAUAACUAAACUUAUUGAGGCUAAAUUUAUUCGGCAAUGUCGGUAUGCCGAGUGGAUUUCCAAUGUUGUUCCAGUUUACAAGAAGAAAGGGAAACUUCGUGUCUGCAUUGACUUUAGGAAUCUUAAUAAGGCUACGUCGAUGGAUGGUUACCCAAUGCCGGUUGCCGAUUUGUUGGUUGAUGCUGCAGCUGGACAUCGGAUCAUUAGUUUUAUGGAUGGCAAUGCAGGAUACAAUCAAAUAUUCAUGGCUGAGGAAGAUAUUUCCAAGACAGCAUUUAGAUAUCCUGGUCAUGUUGGAUUGUUUGAAUGGAUAGUCAUGACCUUCAGUUUGGAAAAUGCAGGUGCUACUUAUUAGAGGGCUAUGGAUUUUAUCUUUCACGAGUUCAUCGGCAAAAUAGUUGAGAUCUAUAUUGAUGAUGUGGUGGUUAAGUCUGGAGAUUUCACAAAGUAUCUUGCCGAUCUGCGAAAAGUGCUGGAGUGCACAAGGAAGCAUGGUUUAAAGAUGAAUUCUAAUAAAUGUACAUUUGGCGUGUCGGCAGGACAAUUUCUUGGUUUCAUGGUGCAUCCGAGAGGGAUUGAAAUUAGUAGGAGAUCUAUUGAUGCCAUCAACAAAAUAGUUGCUCCCACCAAUAAAACUGAACUUCAAUCACUGAUCGGCAAGAUAAAUUUCAUCAAACGAUUUAUAUCUAAUUUGUCCGGUAAGAUUCGUGCUUUUAGCCCUUUGCUUAAGUUGAAAGCCGAUCAAGAGUUCGUAUGGGGAAAAGAGCAAAAGUUAGCGUUGGAUGAAAUCAAGAAUUAUUUAACAAAUCCUCCAGUUCUGAUUCCACAUCAGCAAGGAAAGCCUUUCAAAUUAUAUUUGUCUACCGAUGGGAUGGUCAUCGGUUCGGCUCUAAUUCAAGAAUUUGAAGGGAAGGAACGUGUGAUUUAUUAUCUGAGUAGGAGACUGGUGGAUGCUGAAACGAGGUAUUCAGCGAUUGAGAAACUGUGCUUAUGCUUAUACUUUUCAUGUGUCAAAUUAAGGCACUCUUUGGGUUGGCCGAAUGCACUGUUAUAUGCAAAGAUGAUGUAGUCCGAUACAUGUUAUCUAUGUCGAUUAUGAGUGGUAGAAUUGGCAAGUGGAUUUUGCCAUUGUCGGAAUUUGAUCUACGCUAUGAAUUGGCUAAGGCGGUUAAAGGGCAGAUUAUGGCCAAUUUUGUAACUCAGCAUUGCGGUAUGGUGCACACUUUGGAAAUCGUUCCUUAGACACUCUUCUUUGAUGGAUCCACGUGUGACCGGGGGGCAAGAAUCGGCAUAGUGCUAAUUUCUCCUCGAGGAAAGAAGUAUAAGUUUUCUUUGCCGAUUGUUGCCACGUCGACGAAUAAUCAAGCUGAGUAUCAAGCUUUGCUCAUAGGGUUGGAAUUAUUAAAGGAGGUUCAUGCCGAUGCUGUUGAGAUCUUCGGCGAUUCUAUGCUUGUUAUAAAUCAAUUGGCUAGAAUUUAUGAAUGAAUAAGUGAAAUUUUGAUAGCCUACUAAGAAAAGUGUGUACAACUGUUAAAGGAAUUCAAUGAUUUCCGGUUAGAGCAUAUUCCUCGAUUACAUAAUGAAGAAGCUAAUCGGUUGGCUCAACACGCCUUGGGAUACCAGCCCAUCUUGAAUGUAUCAUCAGCAGACAAUACUGAUGAUUGGAGAAAGGAAAUCAUUGAUUAUUUAAGAGAUCCAUCCAAGAAGGUUGAGAGACGUGUUAGGUUUCAAGCUACCAAAUAUGUACUCCUUGAAGAGGAGUUAUAUUAUCGGACAAUAGAUGGAAUUUUGCUCAAGUGUUUGGGUGAUGAUGAGGCUAGAAGCUUGAUGGGUGAGAUCCAUGAAGGAGUGUGUGGGGCGCACCAGUCGGCUUUCAAGAUGAAAUGGAUGAUUAGAAGAAAUGGGUAUUAUUGGCUGACUAUACUUGAAGAUUGCUUUAAAUACUUCAAAGGAUGCCGAGGAUGUCACAAGUUUGGUAAUAUUCAAAGGGCACCCGCAUCGGCCAUGAAUCCCAUUAUUAAUCCUUGGUCGUUUCGAGGUUGGGCUAUUGAUCUCAUUGGACAGAUUUAUCCGCCAUCAAGCAAAAGGGCAUAAGUUUAUAUUAGUUCCUACUGAUUAUUUUACUAAAUGGGUUGAAGCUAUUCCUUUGAAGAAAGUGACAUCGGCUAACAUGAUUGAUUUUGUGAAAGAGCACAUUGUUUACCGAUUUGGUAUUCCUCAAACAAUCACUACCGAUUAGGGUACUAUGUUCACAUCGGGAGAGUUUGAUGAAUUUGCAAUCGGUAUGGGGAUUAAAGUAUUGAAUUCUUCUCCUUAUUAUGCUCAAGCCAAUGGACAAGCCGAAGCGUCUAAUAAAGGGAUUAUUAAGCUCAUCAAGCGAAAGAUUGAAGAAAAUCCUAGAAAAUGGCACACAUUGUUGAAUGAAGCUUUGUGGUCAUAUCGGAUGGCGUGUCAUGGAUCGACCAAAGUUUCACCCUAUCAGUUGGUGUAUGGGCACGAUGCGGUGUUGCCAUGGGAAAUUAAGACUGGAUCUAGGCGGGUCUCUUUUCAAGAUCAAUUAGCUGCCGAUGACUAUGCUACUUUGAUGAAAGAUGAGUUGGACGAUUUGGCAGAGCAUCGGUUGACGGCUUUGAUAAGUAUAGAAGAAAAUAAAAAGAGAGUUGCUAAAUGGUAUGAUAAAAAAGUAAAAGCUAAGGAGUUUGCCAACGGAGAUUUGGUAUGGAAAUUAAUUCUACCGAUUGGAACUAAAAGAAUGAUGGGAUGGGUGCCUGUUCCCCAUUACGAUUCCCGUGACUGGCGUGUUAGGUGAGAACGCGACAGGCGCAUUAAAUGCCCUAGUUCCCGUGCGCGCGUCAGGCGGCGGGCGGCGUCCUUGCGCUCGACGCCUCCUGAUUCGCUCGAGCCUGUUUCCGUAUUUGACGGUUGUUGGCGCUCGAGCCCUGAUCGAUUCGCUCGACGCCCUUUCCGUCUUCGAGGCUGCGGUCGUCGAUGAUUAUACGCGUGAUUGGGAAGAGCAUCGAGUUGGGGGCCUCGACUUGCGUUCGGGCGAUCUCGUUAUGUACAUCAGUUGGGAUACCCCUUACUGAUACCCUCGACAGUAGCCCCUGAGUCUCCAUUUGAGCGCUGGCGCUCGAGUGGAGGCUUUAUUUUGCGGUUGAGUUUCCGUGGGGGCGCGCGAGCGACCCCGCGGGGGUAGCCCCCGAGCCCUUGGAGGAGUUUUUGACUCCUUCGAGGGUUAUAUUGCCUAAUUCACAGAAACGCUAUCGACACCAGUGGUGGAAGGUUCUGUUUGGCUCGUUUUGUGCAGUGGUUUCAACAUACUCUCGAUAGAGCGAGCGUCAUCCACCCCGGAUUGAGCUCCUAACGGGUAGCCCAAGUGAGAACCUGUGCCCCUUUUGAGGGGGUCAGCUGUUGCCCGGAGGCGCUCUCAUAAAGCGGGAUCGACGUGGUCGGGGAUGCCGGUCUCAUUCGAUAGAGUCCAGUGGCUCGAUGCCUCCCGUCGGGGGGAUUCCUCUCGACUGUCUCGACCCUACCUUGGACAUCCCCAGCGAGUUCUCGAGGCGGGCCUCGGUUUUGACCACUCGCUGGGCAUCCCCAACUCUGGUGCUCGAGAUCGGCUGUCGAACCCUUUCGGCGGGCCAGCCUGCGACCUCUCGAGGCUUUCAUGGGUACGUACCUUGGCUUACAAGGGAAGGAAAAGGCCGUGGCGGUUCGCCUUUUUGCCCGUUGGGCGCGUCUUUUCAGGCGGGAGCUGUUGCGACACUGUAUCGGUGCAGAAUUCGGAACGCUCGGCCUGUGAGGAGAAAAAAGACCAUUAGGUGGCGCAUUUACGGGGGGAGUUACCGCAUUUAUCGGAUCUGCCUGUUGGUGGUUGCCGUCUAUAAAUAUCCCAUGGCCUGGUUGCCGUUCUCCCUUCUGCCUUCCGCCCUCAUUCCUACCUUUGCCUCCUUGCCAUCUCACGCACGCGCGGACCCUCGAGCAGUAGCGGAUCUGCCUUUCUUCAACCCAAGGAUGCCUAUGAGACUCGUCGCCACCGACGACUGGCGCCCGUCGUCGAUGACGGAGCGCCGGUUGCUGGAGCUCAAGAGGGAGGGACUCCUGCGCCACCGCACAUCGCUGUCGUCGCCGGAGUGGAUCGCGCCGCUGGUGGACCACCAGGAGCCCAGGCCGCCCAAGGGCUAUGUGGUUUCGUUCACCAAGUUCCACCGCCAUGGCCUGGGCACUCCUCCGAGUCGCUUCAUGCGGGCGCUCUGCCAUCACUACGAGGUGGAGCUCCAGCAUUACUCCCCAAAUGCCAUUACCGUCGCGGCGGUCUUUGCCACGGUGUGUGAGGGCUAUUUGGGGAUGAUGCCCCACUGGGACCUGUGGCUCCACCUCUACAGGGUGAGCUCUUCAACGCCCCUACUGAGACCACAGGCGUGAGGAAACCUGUGUGGGCUGGGUGCUUCACACCUGGUGCUGAAGACGGGGAAGACGAAGAGGCCACGCGAGUACAUCCCGGUGGGAUUGUCCUCGAACCACGCCGGAUGGGACAACCAGUUGUUCUACCUGAGAAACGACGACGACCUCCUUCCUGCCUACACCGGCCAUUUAAUCACGGAGCGUCCGGAGAACUGAAAGUACGGCGUCGUCCAAGCUCACCAGUCGAGGCUCGACCCCCUCCUCGACUCCUUAAAGAAGCUACGCGUGGAGGGCUUGUCUGCCGCUCUUGUCCUCUCAGCCGUCCAUCAUCGGAGAGUCCUCCCGCUGAUGUCUCGGCUACUGAGGAUGGACGAGAUGGGUCCCAGCGUUUCGUCCCGGGACCUUGAGGCGUGCCGAAUGUCCUAAUGAUGUACCUCAUCUGGAUGCCCAGAGGCGAGAUGAAUAGCAGGCACGCCCCAGCUCUCGUUUUCAUGAGAGACCCAUUGAAAUACAUCGUCCACAGCUCCGCCUGGACCUGAGCCGGGGGGAGUUGGGAGUCCGUCCACUCCGCGACAAAAUCCACCAAGGCUUGUGAUUUGAUAGCUUUGCGGGGCGCGUAAGUGAGGGUCUCGCUCAUGAGCUCGACCGACCACUUUGCGAUCCUACCCGUGGCCUCCCGACUCUGGAUGAUCUCUCCCAAGGGGAAGGAUGAGACCACCGUGAUAGGGUGGCCGAGGAAGUAGUGCUACAGCUUGCGUCGGGCGAGGAUUAUGGUGUAGAUUAGCUUCUGGAUUUGCGGGUAACAUGCCUUGGUCUCUGAGAGCACCUCGUUGACGAAAUAGACCGGCCUCUGGACUGGCAACACAUGCCCCUCUUCCUGCCUCUCGACUACUACCGCUGCACUGACGACCUGGGUCGUCGAAGCGACGUAUAGAAGCAGAGGUUCAGCGGGUUGAGGUGGGACUAAGACUGGCGCAGAGGUCAGCGUUUUCUUCAAGUUGUCGAGGGCUUCUUCGGCUUCUAGAGUCCAAGAGAAACGCUCGACUUUCUUCAGAAGUUGAUACAAUGGCAACGCCUUUUCUCCCAACCUCGAGAUAAAACGACUCAGCGCCGCUAAGCAUCCCGUGACUCUCUGCACGCCCUUGACGUCUCGGAUUGGCCCCAUUCUUGUGAUGGCUGAGACUUUCUCGGGGUUGGCCUCGAUGCCGCGCUGGGAAACAAUGUAACCCAGGAGCAUGCCUCGAGGUACACCAAAAACACACUUCUCGGGGUUGAGCUUGAUCUGGUUGGUGCGUAAGCAGCUGAAAGCGAUCUCGAGGUCCUAGAUCAGGUCGCCCCGCCGCUUUGACUUGACGACGAUGUCGUCGACAUAGGCCUCGACCAUCGACCCUAUGUGCUUGCCAAACACAUGGAGCAUGCAACGCUGAUAUGUGGCUCCCGCGUUUCGAAGCCCGAACGGCAUGGUUACAUAACAAUACAUCCCGAAAGGCGUAAUGAAAGAUGUCGCGAGCUGGUCGGACUCUUUCAUUUUUAUUUGAUGGUAACCAGAAUACGCAUCAAGGAAAGAAAGGGUUUCACAUCCCGCAGUAGAAUCAACAAUUUGAUCAAUACGUGGUAAAGGAAAAGGAACUUUCAGACAUGCUUUAUUUAAACUUGUAUAAUCGACACACAUCCUCAUUUUCCCAUUCUUUUUCUUAACUAGUACAGGAUUUGCUAACCAGUCGGGAUGGUGAACCUCCUUGAUGAAUCUGGCCAUCAAAAGCUUGUGGAUUUCCUCGCCAAUGAUCUUGCGCUUCUCUUCGUCGAAGCGGCGCAACCGCCGCUUCACUGGCUUGGAACUGGCUCGAAUCUCCAAGGAGUGCUCGGCGACUUCCCUCGGUAUGCCUGGCAUGUCCGAGGGACUCCAUGCAAACAUGUCAGCGUUCACACAGAGAAAGUCGACGAGCACGGCUUCCUAUUUGGGGUCGAGGUCGGCGCUGAUUGUCAGCACCUUGCCGUCGGAUUUGUUGGGGUCGAGCGGGAUCUUCUUGGUCCCCUCCGCCGGCUCGAAGCUGCCCGCGUGGCACUUGGGCUCUAGAGCUUCAGCAGCCAGGGCCUCGAGCUUCGAGACGAGCUCGGUGGAACUCUCGACAACCUCCCCAUACACGACGCAUUCGACGUCGCACUCGUUCGCGUGCUCGAAGGUGGAGCUGACGGUGAUGACGCCCUUGGGACCGGGCAUCUUCAGCUUCAAGUAGGUGUAGUUGGGGAUAGCCAUGAAUUUGGCGUAGCCCGGGUGUCCGAUGAUUGCGUGGUACGUGCCUCGGAACCCCACCACCUCAAAGGUGAGGGUCUCCUUUCUGAAAUUAGCCGUCGUGCCAAAGCAAACCGGUAGGUCGAUUCGACCGACCAGCAACGCCUUCUUGCCUGGUACGACACCAUGGAAUCCACCGGCGCUGGGCUGGAGCUGCGCCCCAUUGAUGCCGAGGAGGUCGAGGGUCUCGAGGUAGACGAUGUUGAGGCUGCUGCUGCCGUCCAUCAGCACCUUCAAGAGUCUGGUGUUGACGAUGAUGGGAUCGACGACAAGCGGGUAGACGCCAGGGGUGACUACCUUGUCGGGGUGAUCCUCUCGAUCGAAGGUGAUGGGGGUGCUCGACCAGCUGAGGUACUGGGGCACUGCCAUCCUUGCCGCAAAAACCUCACGCUGUUCCCUCUUGCGCUGCCUUGCGGUCAGCUGUGUCGAGGGGCCUCCGUAGAUCAUGUAGCAGUCGUGGACGGCAGGGAAGCCGUCGUCGUCUUUGCCAUCCCCUUUGUCGCCGCUCUUUUCUUUCUUUAGGUCGUCACGGGCGUCCUUCUUGAACCCCAAACCGUCGAAAUGCUUUUUCAGCAUACGAUAGUCCUCGAGCUUGUGGUUGGCUCCUCCCUUAUGGUGAGGGCAUGGCUCCUUUAGCAUCUUAUCGAAGAUGCCCCCAUCUGGAGGGCCUCGAGGCCUUUUGCGCUCCAUGGCGAUGACGAGAUCGUCAUCGAGGUCUUCCCGCUGGAGCGGCCGUGUUUUCUUCUUGUUGUUGUUCUUCUUGGGCCCUCGACUGGGGCCCUCAUCCUCAUCGGUGGGCUGCUUGCCCCUCUUUCCUUCACAACUGAAGAAGGCGCCCACCGCUUCUUCCCUAGCAGCGUACUUUGCUACUACGUCCAUUAGCUCGUCGAUGGUCUAAGGACGGUUCCGGCCCAAUUCCUGCACCAAGUCUCGACUGGUGGUACCAGAGACAAAGGCCAGGACGACGUCGUGGUCGGGGAUGUGUGGCAGCUCGGUGCGUUGCUUCGAGAUGCAUCAAGCAUACACUCGAAGAGUUUCUCCUGACUUCUGCUUGCACUUGCUGAGGUCCCACGAGUUUCUAGGUCAUAUGUAGGUUCCUUUGAAAUUACCCUCGAAUACUCUAACCAAAUCGACCCAGUCGUGGAUCUGGUUGGCUGGGAGCUCCUCGAGCCAUCUGCGGGUGGUGUUACAGAGGAAGAGCGGCAGCUGUCUGAUGAUGGCUCGAUCGUCCCCUCGAGUGCCUCCUAGCUGACAGGCCAGCCUGAAGUCCGCCAGCCAGAGCUCUGGCUUGGUCUUGCUGUUGUACUUUGCAAUGCUGGUCGGGGGUCGGAACGGGCUGGGCAGUGGCGUGCUGCGGAUUGCCCUACUAAACACCCUCGGGCUAGGCGGCUCUGGGGCCAUCCGGUCUUCAUCGCUGUCGUACCUCCCGCUGCGAUGGGCGCUGUAACCUCGCUCCUCCGCGUCCUCAUACCAACGUCGUCGAUUUUCGUCGAUGUCGCGUCGCGCGUCGUGUCGACGUUGGCUGUCGACGGGGAGGACGAGUGUGGUCUUUUUCCCUCGAGGGGGUGGCUGCUGAUGGACCGACACCUCCUUUUCGUUUUGGGCUGGCUCGUCGCGCUUCUCGGUGGCUGCUCCUCGACGUCGAGAAGCCGAGCUUUCGGCCUGCUAAACUGCUGCCACCUGGAGCAGAGUCUGCACCUCGUCUCGGAUGCGCCGUGCUUGGGAGUUUGAGGGCUCGGGCAUGUUUCCCAACAGCAUAGUUGCUGCCACAACAUUCUGGCCCACUCGAGGGAAGCGGCUGACAGGUUGUUCUGGCUCCCCGUCCCAGACGAUCUAUCGAUGCACCUCUCGAGCCCUUCUGCGGACACUUCCGCCGGGCGGGUAAGGCAGGUCCUACUCGAGGAUUUGCUCAAGUAGGACAAGGCGCUCGCGAUCCUCGUUAAGCUUUGCCUUAAGCUCUCGUAGCUGCACAAUUUGCGCGGCUCUGUCUUCUUGUGGAGGGGGGUCGACUUGACCGUCAUUCCCAGGUGUCCUGGGGUCUUCUCUUGCUGCAGGGGCUCGCCCGCCUGCAAUGGCGUCUUGUGUCUCAUCGGUUGUUUCCACCGCUCCGUCGAUAUGAUAGCACUCCCUAGUAGGGUCAUAACUAUCGGUCUCGGAACCGGAGUCUGGCUCGGCGGCGUAGAAACAUCCACGUCCCUCUUCCAGUAGCCGCUGCCUGAGGGAGGUGAUCGUGUACCGCCCAGGGCCUAGGCGGCGGAGGCCUCGUACCUAAGAGAAAUCCGGCAGCUCGGACGUCGGUUGUUGUGCUCCAGGGUUGCGUGGGAGGACCAUUGGUCUCUCCACGUAUGUCUGGGCGUUUGGACAUAUUGUCCUGGAGAGCGACGCCGCGGCGUUGUCCAGGCCGAACGGUAAUGUUCUUCUUGGGGCGACCAGCCCGUGUGGAAGUAGCCUGGCGGUGGGGGAGAGCGCGCGAGGCGCGUCACCUCCCGUCGUCGUGUGAUCCUCGCGGUGCUAAGUCGUCGUGCUCACGGCUUCAGCACGCGGUGCCGUCGGCUCCUGUGUCACCUCCUGCCUGGCACGAACCGUCGGUCAUGACGAGGCAGAAGGGCGACGAUGGUGCUGUCCACGCCUCUUCUUGGGCGGGGAGGCGUGAUGGCUAGGGCGUCUCGGGGCCCUCGUCCGUGCUGGCGCAACGCGGGCUCCUCCCGGUCCUUUGAUUGAGAGCAAGAUCAUGUUAUAGCCAGAGCCAGUAGACAUGAACUCGAGACUCCCAAACCAAAUCACUGUGGAGCGCGGAAUCGGUGAAGAAAGAGUGGCCAUCUAGAAAAGAAUUGGGAAUCGAUGAAAAACACGCAGGACCCCUACCUGGCGCGCCAACUGUUGGUGUUUUUCCCACGGGGGGUUACACCAACGAGUGAAUUUGUAUGCGUGCUCCCCUUUCCAGAUGGUGAUGCAAAAAGACACAAAGAUUUAUCCUGGUUCGGGCAAGAGAAGGCCCUACGUCCAGCGGAGGAGGAGAGUUUGUAUUAUUCUGCACCUAAGUGCUUGUACAGGGGUGAAUAUGUAACACCUGGCCCAGGGCUUAAUAGGAUUAAUAGGAGACUCAUACCAACAAGUUGCAACUUCUUUUCCGGAAGCCCAUCUCCAAAGAACUCUAAAGUUAAGCGUGCUUGGCCUGGAGAAAUUUAGGGAUGGGUGACCGACCGGGAAGUACUUCUCGGGUGCACAUGAGUGAGGACAAAGUGUGCAGAAAAGACUAGUGUUGGUCUGUGGGGGCUGACUAUGUCCUAGAAAAGCUGCCAGAUGUAAGCGGGCCCGGCCUCGUGGAGGCGGGAUGUUGCAGAAUACAAGCGUAGUAUGGGGUGUAGCGAUGUGAGUAGCACUACUACGUAUGGCUGGUGAGUUGUGUUGUGGUGUAUUGCGUGAUGUUGUAUCUCUUCCCGGGUCUCCCCUUUUAUAGUUCCAAGGAGGAGCCCAGGGUACAAGUAUAGAAGUCAGAGUAGGGGUCGAUAGAGGUAUGGCGCGCGGAACUACUUGAGGCCUCCGUACCGGCGUGGUCUCGAGCCGUCUGGUCCGGGUAGCCUGAUGAUGAUUACGCGUGCCCCUUUAUCCUGCUCUGCGCGCCGUCUUGGACUGGCUUAUCUGCUGCACGCCUGUACGUCAUGGCAGCGGUUACGUCGGGGCAGUCGUAGUGUUGUCAUUCGACGCCCAACCCUUCCCUAGGAAGGAAACAUGUCUGGUCGAGGGUCGGACGCCGUGUAGCGCCUUGCUACCCAGAGCAUUGACCUUUGGUGUCUCGAGGAGGUCUUGAUUAGACGUUCCGACCCUGCUUCCUACGUUCUGACAAGCUCUGGGUCAUUUGGUGGGGAAGGCUGCAAAAAGAUUGAUGGGAUGGGUGCGUGUUCCCCAUCACGUUUCCCGUGACUGGCGUGUUAGGUGAGAACACGACAGGCGCAUUAAAUGCCCUGGUUCCCGUGCGCGCGUCAGGCGGCGGGCGGCGUCCUUGCGCUCGACGCCUCUCGAUUCGCUCGAGCCUGUUUCCAUAUUCGACGGUUGUUGGCGCUCGAGCCCUGAUCGAUUCACUCGACGCCCUUUCCGUCUUCGAGGCUGCGGUCGUCGAUGAUUAUACGCGUGAUUGGGUAGAGCGUCGAGUUGGGGGCCUCGACUUGCGUUCGGGCGAUCUCGUUAUGUACAUCAGUUGGGAUACCCCUUACUGAUACCCUCGACAAGUAGCAGCAACUGACGGGGACGUCUUUGACCGCUUGGUGGUUAUCUUCUUGAAACGCACAUUCUGAUGCAUCAAAGCUGCUAAACUUGGUGCGUUGUGACCGAUUAAAGAGAUUGGACCUGAUGGUAGAAGUUCAAGCGGUCUUCCGCUCCUACUGACUGUCGGUGCUGUGUUGUCGAUCUGUUGAAGCAAAAGACAAGAGAAAGUGAGUCACCGAUAGGGUCAGAAGUAACAAAGGAACUGAGAUAUUGAUCGAAGACUUACAGUGUUAUCCGGGACUUUAUAGUUGGGGUCGAUCAUGCCACGGUAUGUCAGUGCCGAUGCGUUGAACAGAUGUUCCUUCCAUUCUUCCCACCACUGCUUGUACAUCUGAGUGAUGAAGAGGGCUGGGAUCCAAGCCGAUACAUCGAUAUCCGUCGUAUCGGCAUUUGGUUGAAGCUAGGCUACCCUUAUCCACUCCAGUCCACUGGUUAUAGUCUCCCUUGGCUUCACCACAUCGGGGUAACAGAGUCUGAUCGGUAGUUGGCCAAAAGCCAGUUGACGAGCUAGUAUCUAUGGGUUGUAAAAUUCAUAAGUGGGGUUGGUGUUCUUCCCACAGCCAAAAGUAUUCACUUGGAUGGCCCUCGGAGUGAUGAUUGCCAUCAUCAAGUCAUUGUCUUUGUUGAGAGCAUCAUCAAAAAGGGUGAAAAGUAAGCGAGAAUCUAGUUUCUGGGUCUUCAUAAGGCAUCCAUGCCCGCUGAUCUUUGGGAAGGCCAUCAUAUAGAGUUUCGAAGAAUUGGUUGACCUGGUCUUCAUUACCACCAGUGCCAGGUAGGACAAUAGUAGCCUCACCACAGUUUAGGGGUGGGCGAGUUGCUGAUUCCUCAUCAGCCAGUUCGUGAUCUUCGGCGAUAUCUCUAGGAAAUCGUUGUGCAAAGAGAUCAAAUCGGAGACGCUUAUGCAUGUGAACAUUGAGCCACAUGUUGAUGAACCACUAAAGAUCUCCUAGAUUGCCGAUGGGUUGACCUAGCAGAAGCUUCUCAGCCACUUGAUGAAGGAGGUGAUAAACAGAGCCUAGCAGGUAUCGGCCAAGAGGGAAUCGACCGCCAUCGGCUAGUUUUUCUACUGUCGAUAGAUAAACAGAAGUUGGCCCUACCGAUAGGCCACAGAAGAGAAAUUUAUCUAGCCACAUGUUCAGAAAGAUGGCGUGUUCCCUUUGCCCAACUGGUCCUGUUUUCUGGUAUUUCUGGAUAUACCCUGACCAACCGCCGAUGUUGUGAGUUUCUACUUUACGUUCGGGCUUGCUAUCAAACACGUGACUAUCAUCGGCAGUUGCUAUCUCUAGACCAAUGAGCAUGAGCACAUUGGCAAGGGUAGGAGAAGCAGGACCAUGACCAAACAAGAAAGCAUUAAGGGUGUCUGACCAGAAGUACGAGGCUGCUAUCAACAGUGAUUCAUUUCUUUCCAUAUCGGCAAUGGACAACCUGAUACACUGGUCUAAUUUACGCUCACCCCAUCGGACUUCAUUAGAGUUGCUAACUCUCAAGAACCAAUCCUUCCAUCCCUUGGUAGAACUGGGCCAAGAUCGGAAGGUGUCUUUCCAUAGAUCUAAGGAGAAAUUCUCAGCUCUAAAGGGGAUCCUAUUUGUUUCCGCAUUGAUCAGGUCGGUAGGAUCCGGAUUUCCCAACGGACCGAGACAUUGAAAAUGGGGUUGCUCGGUAGGAAUCACAAUUUUCUCGACCAGUUCCUAAAGAUUUGAAGGUUGGAAAAACAUAAAGAGGGGAAAAGAGAGAAAGAAAGUGCUGAGUCAAUAAAUUUGCAGAAGAUAAAAGUACGAUAAAAGAAAAUAAGAUGGGAUAGAAUUGACCUGAGGGACGGUGAAGUUGACAGCCAUGUCUUCCUGGAGAAGGAGAAGAUCGAAGAUUUGAAGAACUGCUAGGGGAGAUCUUUGCUGGAGUUCUUGGGUUCUCCAACGAUGCCGCUGCUGGAAAGAUGGGUUAGGAGGAUGUAGAAUGACAGGGUGAAGGAAGAGUACCAAGGAAGGAAGUAUUUAUAGGGUAAAGUGAGCAGGGGCAAUUCUGACUUAUCUCUUUGUCAUAUCCGCAAAAUCCGAGGGUGUUCAGAUGGAUAUGGUAACUGUUCGCAUGGUAAUCAAGGGAUUGUGCAGGUGAUUUGACACCAAGCGGUCAUGAUUUUGAAGAUAUUUUACUGUACAAGAUCCCUUGGUCGGUUCAUCGGUAGUUUAUUCUAACGGAAAAGUUGCCAAUGAACGGAUGUUUAGGUGAUUCGGUUUGAGAGGUUGAAAAAUUCGAGAUAUAUGCUAGAGAUCCGGGCUGAGGCUGUUUGGAUUUAGCAAUUAAUGAUCGUCACGAGGAAAUAAUUGCGAAAAGGGCGUUAUUAUUGGAGAGAAUUUUGGAGCAUUAAUGAUUUUAUACCCCAAAAUUGAGGGGCAUGUGUUGACACCGUUUUUGGACACGUAUCUUUGGACCCGUAUCUGGGGAUUAAUGGAAUAAAGAUCAGGAGGUGAAAAGGGUGAUGAUUGGUUAUCAAAGGAAUUGCCGAUAGGGAUUGGUGCCAAUGGUGGAGUAGCAGGAUGUGGCUAAGUCCAAGGAUGGUGAUUGAUAUAUGCCGAUGGCCGAUGCUGGUGAUUGAUGCCAAUGGCUGAUACUGGUGGUUGCCGAUGCCAAUGGAAGGUGGGUUUGCCAAUUUCCGAUGAUAACAAGAGGCACAGGAAUUGCUGAGAGGAUGGUGGUAGUGUGCCGAUCGCCCGUGGUAGAUAGAUUAAUGUUUUCCAUAGUUAUUAGAGUUUGUUUUGUAUACGAAUUCUGUUCAAUUGGGAAUUAGAAUCCUAGUCGUGUCUAGUUGUAAUUCUUUUGAGCAGGGUAUAAAUAUAAACCCCAUAGCAAUGUAAUAGGAGAUCACAAUCAAUCAACUACAAGUCUUUACAUCUAUUCUAGCAUCUACUUUUUCGACGACUUCAUCAACCUACGUAUUUUCCUUUUACUUACGAGUUCUUAGGAAUUCAUCGAGUCAAUCUCGGCAAAUUCUCAAGUUCCGCGUGAAUACAUCUUGGCUGUGACAUCCAGGCGCAUCGCUGUUGUCGGGACCAAAGUAUUCGAGCUAUCACCUUUGUCGAUUGUAAGGUCAAAUCGGCUGACACGCCUUAACAUCAAAUCGGGUAUUAGCCCUUUGUGUUUGUAGAUCUACUUUUGCACCAACAUCCCUCUUGGCCGAUACCUGUUAGGCUCCGUCUAUCACCUCCUCCAUCAAGUAACCGAGAAACUUCUGCUAGGUGAACCCAUCGACAAUCUAGGAGGCCCUUGGUGGUUACUCAACAUGUGGCUCAAUGUUCACAUGCACAAACGGCUUCGGUUUGAUUUCUUUGCACAACAAUUCCCCAAAGAUAUCACCAAAGAUUAUGAACUGGCCGAUGAUGAAUCAGCAACUCGCUCACCCCUCAAUUAUGGUGAAGUUGUUAUAGUUCUCCCUGGCACCGCCUCCAAUGAAAACUAGGUCGGCCGAUUCUUCCAAACUCUGUAUGAUGGCCUUUCCAAAGAUCAACGAGCAUGGAUGCCUUAUGAAGAUCCAGAAACUAGGUUCCCACUGACCUUCCACCCUUUUGACAACGCUCUCAACAAGGAUAAUGAUUUAAUGAUGGCAAUCAUCACUCCGAGAGCAAUUCCAGUGAAUAGCUUUGGCAGCGGGAAGAACAUCCACACCACCUAUGAGUUUUACAACCCAUCGGCACUGGCCCGCCAACUGACUUUUGGUCAACUGCUAACCAGACUUUGUUAUGCCGAUGUAGUAAAACCAAGAGAGAUAGUAACCAACAGACUUGAGUGGAUUAGGAUAGCUCAACUCCAGCCAGAUGCCGAUAUGACAGACAUCGAUCUAUCGGCCUAGGUUCCAGCUCUCUUCAUUACUGAGUUGUAUAAACAUUGGUGGGAAGAAUGGAAGGAGCAUCUGUUCAGGGUAUCGGCUCAUACAUAUCACGACAUGAUUGACUCCGACUACAAAGUCCCCGAUAACAUUGUAAGUCUUUUACCAAUACCUCAUUUCCGUUGUUAUCUUUAACCUUAUCGGCAAAUUAUUUAUUCUCAUUUCAACAGGUCGAUGACCCAGCGCCGACAAUUAGCAGAAGUGGGAGGCCGAUCGAACUUCUUCAAUCAGGCUCAAUUUCUCUGAUCGUCCGCAAUGCGCCAAGUCUAGCGGCUCUGAUGCAUCGCAACGUACACUUCAAAAAGAUGACCACCAAACGGUCGAAAACAUCUCCAUUAGUCACUGCUGCCACUCUGGCAUAGGCUUUUAAGGUAAACUGUUAAUUUUCUUUGUUUAUAAUGAUUUCAUCCCAUAAUCACAUUAUCUUUUCAGGGUACAUCAGCUGCAACGGGAACUUCAUCGGUAACUUUUAUUCUUUAGCAAAAAACUCCACCACUAUCCUUUUAUAUUUCAACUCAUGAAAUUUUUUGGUCGUUGUAACAGCAGACCGGCAAAUCGGCAAAGACCAAGAGUGCCCAAACAUCAGGCAUCGAUCCCCCCAGCCCAGUCAAGCUCUAGCCAAGAGAAAGGGUCCGAAAAGCACCAAGACCCAACCAAAGCGUCAGAAGCCAACACCAUCCUCUCCACCUCAUCCAGUAUCCCUGAUCCAAAUAGUAUCCUCUCCUUCUCAAUCGGAGCCCCAAACACAAGAAGUACCUUCUCCCCCUCGAUCCGUACCCCAACUGCAAGAAGCACCAACCGAUGUAUCUGAACAGAUUGCCGAUCCGGUUGAUCUGGGCACAUCAUCGGUCAUCCCUCUAGAAUAGACAAUCACCAUACCUCCUCAAGGUAAAGUACUGAUUACAGAAUUAUUACCGAUGAAUUUAUCUAUAAGCCAUAAUCAUCCUUGUAACUUUUCAGCUAAAGUCAUUCCAUCGGCAACCCCAGCCGAUCAAACUAUAGUACCAGCUACAUCUCCACCUCAGAGAUAGGAAAUCGCCUUGAAGGAAGUAAGUUAUCCAAUUUUCCAAACUUUGCACUAUCAAUACUCAAUCUUGAGUAACUUAUCUUCUUCCUUUUCUAGGAGCAAGACUCCCAGAUAGCCUAUUCUCCUUUGCUAUCGACAUCUCUGAUGAUGAAGGUGAAGAAGCAAGCUCUUAUCAGGCAGUUGGAAUCACAUCGGUAGAGAUUAAGGCCAAGUUGAAAGACUUAUUAGCUCUGUUGCACCAAGACACAGCCCAGCUAGUAGACGAUUCUGAUCUGGCCAAAGUCAUAUUCAAGACCCUCCGUGGCCAAAUUCCAACCAAUGCAGAAGAAAUCCUCUUCCAAGCUACCUACCUAGAAAGUCGCCAACUCCAGUAUCAGAAGGCUACCCAGCGCCUUGCCGAUAGAGCUGCUCAUGCCCGGCUCACAGAGGAGAUGCUGCAAAUAAAGCAUGCUGCCGUUGAGAAACACAAGAGCAUUCGUAUUCUACAGUCCUCAGGGGAUGAGCUGAAACAAAAGAUCUCCAAUCUAUCGGCAAAAAGAAAAGCCCAGCUAGCUAAACUUAGGCAAGUAGAAGAGGCCCUGACUCAACCUCAGCAAGAAGAAAGCCAGCUGCCUGAUAAGCUCAAAACUCUUCAGCAAGAGAGAGAUGUCCAAGCCCGCAAAGCACUACAGAUGAAGAAGAAGCUGAAACUAGUGGAGGGUUCUGCUGAUAAAGACACUCGAGAAAUAGAAGAGGCCAACCAGAUUUGUCUGUGCGCAAUAUCGGCCAUUCAAGCUUUGCUGAAUCUGUGAACUUUUCAUCGGCAACUUGUUUAGUUUUGUUUCAAAAACUUCAAUCAUUUUGGUCCAGCCGAUAGGAUUGUUAUCGGCACUAAAACUCCAUGCAUGGCUCCAAAUACACUUAAUAUUCUGUCUAGCCGAUAGGACUGUUAUCGGCAUUUAAACUUUCAUGCAUCAAUCCAGAUACUCGGGUAGUAUUUCUUUAAAUAUUUUCCAUUUAAAGCUAUAGGGAAUUCAACUCCUUUGAGAGUUUCUAAAAUAUAAGCAUUGCCAGGAGUAGAUCGAUUUAUCCGAUAAGGACCCUCUCAAUUAGGAGACCACUUUCCAAACUUUGAGCUUUUAGUCCCAAUCGGUAGAAUCAGCUUCCACACCAAAUCUCCAUCGGCAAACUCCUUGGCCUUUACUUUCUUACCAUACCAUUUAGCAAAUCUCUUUUUAUUUUCUUCUAUGCUAAUUAAAGCUCCCAACCGAUGCCCUGCUAAAUCAUCCAACUCAUCUUUCAACAAAGUAGCAUAGUCAUCGGCAGUUAGCUGAUCUUGUGAAAAGAUCCGCCUGGAACUAGUUUUAAUUUCCCAUGGCAAUACCACAUCAUGUCCAUACACCAACUGAUAGGGUGAUGUUGGGUAUUCUUAACAUCAUUACCAAAAGUAGACUUAGUUUUCUAAUUCUGAUAACGGUGCCAAAAAUGCCAAACCUAUCCCUCAUACCACUUAAGCCAAGUUGUCAUCCCAGCAUGAUAUGAGAGACGCGGUAUUGAAAUAUGCAAUUGCUCAUCUAAAUAAAUAAUCAAAUGGGAUCUGCAAGCGCACAGAUUAAUACCGAUGUAGCAUUUUAACCGGGAAGUAUUCCAGGUAUCGUUAUUUAUAUUUUUACCACUGGGAAGGGAUUAGUAAUCAUCAGUGUUGAUCAUAGAAUGGAAUAUAGAUUUGAGUAUCUAUCAUUGCAUGUAUAAUUGAGAAUAUUUAUCUAACUCUUUCAUACAGGGAUAAGUGUCACAUAAAGGAUAUAUAAAAUAAUGAAUAGUGACAAAGAUAAUUAAUCUGAUCAACAUAACUUAGCCACAUAUAAAUAUGAUAACAACCUUAAUUAGAUAUUCUAGCAAGUCAUUAGCAUGGAAUUAGGACGAACUACAAGAAUAUUUCCUAAGUUAUUCUUAACUAUACAGUCUAGCAUAUCAUAGUUAGUGCAAUUAUACUUGACAAUCAUUGUGAGACAAGAUUACACCCAUGCAUAGUGAUAUUAUCAAGGUAAAUGAGAAACAUAGCAAUCACUCCCCUGUAAUAAUAUUGCUCUGCCAGCCCUAUACACGAGAGGGGGACUAUAUAAGAAUCAAUGAAGCUGUCACUAUCACGAACUACCCAACGAUCUGGCAUAUAGAGUACAAUCGUAGAUAAAUAUGGUAUAAGCACCACGCCUACACAAUAUCUAUCAUUUACCCAUGGAUCCGAUGGAUAAACGCUAUAUGAUCCUAAACAUGUAUAUAAUUCCAAUCUAACUAAGCCAAGUAUAUAACUAUGAUAAACUAAGAACAAUAUAAUUGUGAAUAUUAACAAGUAGAGCAAAGUCAUAAUCAAUAUAUUGAAGUAGAACAAAGUCGUAUUCAUAAUAUCGAAGAACAAAGAUGAACAAUUGAAGAACAAUAGAGAAUUACCAAGAAUCCUCUUGACAGAUCCGGAAACCAAUCGAAGAUUGACUCAUUCUAGUUCUAAUCUUAUGUAGCUAUGCUAAUCUUGAUGUCUAAUUGAUGUGGUGGCUCUAGGCUUGAUCAGAGGCUUCUUCUCCCUUGAUGAAUAAUGAAUUAGGGUUGAGAGCUCUCUUCCUCUAGGGGCCAGGGGGUCUGGUUUUAUAGUCCUUCCAAGUGAAUAUGGGCCAUCGGAUCAAACCGACAUAGAUUGAAUGGUUAUCCUUGAUCCUUUAGGUAGGUGGAGGAUAAUCCCAAAAGAGAGUCCUGAUUGGACUCCAGCAGGGGGCGGGCGCCCUGGGCCAGGCCCCGUUCUGCCUCCGCUUCGUUCUCGUGGCUUCUGGAGUCUUCUAGAUGUAAGAUAAUUGCGCGGCUCGUUAAUAUCUCUAUGUAAUCCUGACAUGUGGGCCUUUCUUCCGUAUUUCCUGAUAACCCCCUGCAAAAAUAGACAAACACCAAAACUUGUGGAAUUCUGUCAAAUAAAACCCUAAGUCUAGAUGUUGAUUUCAUUUGGAUCCUUUUCUUUAUUUAUUUGAUAAUUAAAUUUGAUACUUAAGGACCAUCAACAAACUCCCCCAAGCUUACCUCUUACUCGUCCCUAAGCAAUGAUAAUCUCAUGGAUGGAUCAGAAGUUGUCGUAAUGCCUUUAAAAGUUGAUGGUACACAUGCUUAUAAACAAGAUCCUAUCCCUAAGUUAGAGUAAACUGUCAAGAAUUAAAACUUACUUACUUUACCUUUCUCCAUGGGACUUGUAACCGUCACUUCUGUCUUGAGUAGUUAAAAGAUAGAACAGUCUAGUCAAGUGCCAUGUCUCUUAUUCUUGAUCAGCUAUAGCUCUGGAGUUUUUGCAGAUUUUCAAAUAAAACUCAGAGAUUCCUUGUAUGACUCUCUCAGAUCUCUCCUUUGUCGUAUUUUUGGAUCCUUACCAAGGCAUUGAUGGUAUAUUCCUUCUCUCAAAAUAUGUAGUAUUUGUGGUAUAAAGCAUAGUGACAUUGCCUUCUCUCUCACCCUACUCUAACAAGGCUUUUGAUAUCUGGAGCUCAUAGGUGGGAGAUAAAGUAUACAUACUUACAAGACAUUUAUUGCAUAGUCAAAUCAUGGAUCCAAAGAAACAAGUCAAGAAAUCAAAUCAAGAUGUGCAUGUGUGGCGAAUGAAUGGUGUAUGGUGAUGAUGGUGAUAACAAUGGUGAAAGUCUAAUUCUACUUUUGCUCUUUUGAGGGGAUACAUAUCUUUCUUGCUUUUUGAAACUUUUUUAGGAGAAUGAGAUGCUCUAUAUUUUCUUUUUCUUUCCUCUCAGGUGGGUAUUUUGUACCCCUAAUUCUACUGUCGGACACUUGUCCAUUUUUACCUCUCGUCUUACUUUUUCUUUUCUUUCGAGGUUCCGGGCACUUGCCCCUUUUUAUUUCCUCGUAUCUCUCUUUUUUUAGAGCACUCAUCUCUUGAAAUAAUAUAGCAAGUGGUAGUAACCAAGAUAACUUGAGCAUUUAUUUCACACGGGAAAAACAGAAAUGUUUUUGGCUAUUCUCUCCUAGAUUAGGAGUAGAAUAUUUUUGGGUGGUUCUGGAGAUGGAAAUGGGUGGAUAUAUGUGGAUGCGUACUUCCGGAGUAGAAGCAGCAUGUAUGAGUGAAUGUGCAAGUGAAUCUUGAUUUAACCACAUGACAAACUCCUAAGGGUCUACACAGCUUGACCACACUCAAUGCUCAUAAGCAGUAAAAAGUAAAUGUGUGGCUUAAAGUCUAGCAAGCAUGUAUAUAUGGCUGUGGUAGGAAUUUAAACUCUCAUCAUAC